AUAAUUAAAGUGGUUUUACAGGAAAAUAAAUAAUAGAAGUGAAUAUUAGGAGCAUUGUCAUGUCUACGAUGGAUGGGUAUUAAUCGAUGGCUAAUAAGAGCUAAUUAAAAGUCAUUUUAAAGGUUCGAGCAUUGCUAUUGCUAUUCGGUUGCAUGUCGAAGCUAAUAUUUAAGACUCUGUUAGAAAUUGCGGACAGAAUGCGCUAUGUGGAGUAAAAGAUAGGGUAAGAAAUUCGCUUGUUUCUGUAAGUCAAUAUUACAUUAAGUGGUAUAAAAAACUCGCAUAUUUCUAUAAGUCAAUAUUACAUUGAGCAUGUUUCACUGCUCUAUAUUUAGACAUAAUUUUUGUAAUUUACGGUCUCAUUGAAAAACAAAGAAGCAUAACUCUAUAUACGCUCACAUCCAAGUCCUUUUGGCCCAACAACUUUAAAAGGUCCGCAGUACAAAAUGGGCCUAAAAUACAAAAAAACCUGGAGGCCUAAUGAUAGGUUGCCUAGUGGCCCUAUCUACUUUGAAUUGGUAAACUAUGUUUCUAGAUGAUUAAUUAUAAAAUUUUGAAAGUUUAAGUGGCUAUCUGUAAACAGGUGAAAGUUUGGACUCUUUGUAAUCCUUAUAGUCAAUGCCACUUUGUUUGAUCGAACUUUUGAGUACUAUGAUUCUUUUGGGUUAAGACCAAACCAAAUUAAAAUUUACCAAAACCUCUGAUAAGUUAGAAUAUAUCACUUGAGCGCGACAAAAAAUUUUAUAUUUGAUGGUUGGUAUCCGAGACCCAAGUUCGAAUCCUAGUUGAUUCACAUUUCUAGCUAAGUUUAUUUUUAAAUGAAAUAAAUGAAGCGGGUAGCGUGCUACCUAUCUCUCAAAAAAAAAAAAAACAAAACAAAACAAAUUUGAAGCCCAAAAAAUUAUACUUGGGCUCAGGCCCCAGCUUAAGUUACUUGACUAAUGGGACUCUGUUUUGUUGGGCUAAGAAUACGUACUCUCGAGUCAAAAGGUGCGGAUCUGUUUCUAAAUUGGAAUCAAAAUUAGAAAAUAAGUUUAUUAUUUUAGUAAAAAUAUGUUUCUUAAAAUAUUUUGAUUCGAAAGUAUUAGCUAAUUCAAUCAUAAUAUCCGGAAGAUAUGAAUAAUAUUUUAGCUUUUUAUUUCUUAUCUAUAUCUGAGCCAAGCGCUGCCUUAAACUUUAGUAAUCUAUUUUAAAAUGUGAUAUAGUUUAACUAAGUUGUGCAUUUACAAAUAUCUUCGUUCUAAGUAUUAUUGUUUGCGUUAGGUUUUUUUUUUCUUUUUUUUUUUUUAACUCCUUUGUAGGUGGCGGGUUUGGGGUGCUUAACUUUGCCUUAUUAAGCUCGAUUCAAUUAUAUAUAUAUAUAUGUUAGAUCACAAGUGCAAAUAAUGUAAUCUUUUUUCAGGAUCCAAUACAUUCUUUGUGGCCUUUUCAACAGGAAAAGGAAAACACAUUUUUUUAAUGGCAUCUCUCACACAAAAUAUGAAGAACCACCACUCAAAUAGAUGGCUAAAGCUACUACAAAACAGUACUUGUAAUAACUUAUAUUUCACAUUUAAGUGUCGGACUAAUAUUUUUAUGACAAUUAAAUGCUAAAUAUGUCGUAAUGAAGUUUUUGAAUUGAUUACCGAUACCAUUGUACAGGGUUUAUGAUAUAUAUGAAUAUACUAGAAAUCAAAAUUUAAACCUUUUAAUAUUAAUUUGUUUCUAUUCAAAUGAUUUUAAAAUUAAGGAAAAACUUCAAAAACCCCCCUGUGGUUUCGUAGUUUCUCAUUUUGCCCCCUUAUAGUUUAAAAUGUAUCAAUUUGCCCCCUGUGGUUUCUUUUUUAUUUUUUUCUUGUCAAUUUCAUUAUUUUUUUCUUAAAUCAAUGAUAAAAUUAAAAUUAAAGGGUACUAAAGCGAAUAUUUGAUAAAUCUAGAUGGGUAUCUGAAGUUUUUUUGUAUAUAAUUUAAUGAAAUAUUAACGAAAAAGUUACUGAAAAGAUAAAAACGAAACCACAGAGGGGGCAAAUUGAUAUAUUUUAAACCACAGGGGGGCAAAGUAAGAAACUAUGAAAGUACAGGAGGGGUUUUUGAAGUUUUCCCUAAAAUUAACAAUCUUUUCACCAGUAAAUAUUAAGUGUAUUUGGGAUGACUUCAUAAUUAGACAAAUUAUUUUUUUUGAGAAAAAUAUAAUAUGUUAUCCACUUCAUUAAUUAAAGAGAAUAAAUUUAGUUACAUAAGUGAGGCAUAUAGGGCCUCAAGAUCUAAAAAUAAAAACCCAAAUAAUAGAAAAAAGAAAGAGCGAGAAAAAGGAGGAUCAGAAAAAGGGGCGGCAAAAGAGAGUUAACAAAAUACUAGCUACAAUGUUAGAACGUGUCACCCAUGUAGCUUAAAAUUUCUUUUAGAAUAGAUGAAAUGUUGGAGCUAAUGUUUUCUGAAGAUUACAUUGUUUCUCUGAGAAUUUUUAUAAAAAAUAAAGCGAAGUAAGUAUUUUGAUAUCUUUCUCUCGGAACACUUAUACGUCUAAAAAUAUUUCAGCUUAGCUUUUUAUUAAUUUUUCUUAGUCGUAUUUAGAAUCAAAAUAUUAUAAAAGAGUAAAGAGUCAAUUAGUUGAAUCAUCAACUCUAGUAAAAAUCUCUAUUUUGAUAUCAUAUAAAGUAUUCAAUUAUUUUAAACAAUCAUUGUAGGAGUACGUACCCAACUUCAAUUAGCUACUGAUCAUUUAACUAAGUUACAAAUAAUCAUUUAAGAAGUACUCAUCUUCAAUUACAUGAGGUUCAAUACACUGAUGAGAAUCCAAAGCAAUAAAGUCCCAUUCUCUCCACACCUAUAUAUUUACUUAACAUUCCCUUACGUCCCCCAAACUCAUCGUUCGCUAAAAUUAUGGCGAAGAAGAAGUAUUCUCCCUCCCCUUUCUUCUUCUUCUUCUUCGUCUCCAUUACAUUGUUUCUUACAUGUCUUAAACCAUGCAAGUGUGAGAGCAAUCCUCUCCCCAUUGUUGAUCCUGACGACGGAGAUGAUCUGAGCGACACCCAAUUCUAUAUCAUCACCGUCGUUCCCCCGGACGGCGACAUCGACCUACUUGGCGCCGAAGAGCUCGAGCAAUACCACCUCUCCUUCCUGCCCAACUCCACCCUCGACUCCGGCGCCCCGCGCCUCGUCCACUCCUUCCGCCACGCUUUCAGCGGAUUUGUGGCGAGACUGACUCCUGCAGAAGCCGCCGCCGUGAAAGCCGUGGCUGGCGUCGUCGAUGUCAAAGAAAACGGGAUUACGCGGCUCGGGACCACUUACACCCCGACGUUCCUGGGCCUGAACGGCUACAACGGCCUCUGGUACAAGACCAAAGGGGAGGGCGUAAUCAUCGGCAUCCUCGACAGCGGCAUCUCCGAGAACCACGUGUCCUUCAAGGACGACGGCAUGCCGCCGGCCCCUGCGAAGUGGCGCGGCUGCUGCGAGUUUGUAAACAGCAAGUGCGACCCCUUUCUGCCGACGGUGUGCAACAACAAGCUCAUCGGCGCACGGAAGCUGAGCUACAAUUCCCCCAAGGACGAAGCGGGGCACGGAAGUCAUUGCGCAAGCACAGCCGCAGGGAACUUUGUUCAGAACGCCGAGGCGCGCGGCCACGCGGAGGGCACCGCGGCCGGCAUGGCCCCGCGGGCGCACAUUGCUUCCUACAAGAUGUGCGGCAGUAGCACGGUCCAGUGCUCGGCCUUCUCAGAAGCCCGGGGCCUGGACCUGGCUAUUGCCGACGGCGUUGACGUGCUGUCCCUCUCCAUCGACUCCUACCAGGAGCCGCUGUACAAGAGCAACAUCGCCAAGGCGUCGUUCGUCGCGAUGGAGAAGGGCAUCUUCACGAGCGCGUGCGCGGGGAACGCCAUGGGGAACGUCCGGAAGGAGGUGGUGAAUGACGCCCCCUGGAUCUUGACUGUCGGCGCCAGCACGACCGACCGAAGGGAGCGCGCGGUCGUGCGGCUCGGCAACGGGAUGGAGUUUUACGGCGAGUCUGCGUAUCCUUUAGAAAUGUCAAACGGGACAGGAACAGUGCCGCUCGUUUACCCGGGGAAAGUGGAUAGCACGCCUGCGAGGCUGGGCUGUAAGAAAGGCGGGCUGGAUGGCUUAGACGUUACAGGGAAGAUCGUGGUGUGCGGCGUCGGAGAGACGGAGGAGCGCGAGAAGGCGGAGAUCGUGAAGAAGGCCGGGGGAGUGGGCAUAAUAUUGCUCGGCCAGCAAUGGAACGGGCAGACCACGUACGCCGAAUCACUCGAACUUCCUUCCGUUUGGAUGGGCAACCUCGACGCCGUCGCGAUUGUGAACUACGCUCUGAACACCGACGAUCCCACAGGGGAGAUUGCUUUCAAAGGCACGCAGUUCGGCUACCGACCGGCCCCUGCCGUAGCCGGAUUGUCGGCGACGGGCCCGAGCAAGUACAACGGCGGCAUCCUGAAGCCUGACAUUCUGGGGCCGGGCAUCAACAUCCUUGCCGCCUGGCACAAGCAGGUCGGGCCAAGUCCCACCGGCUCCGAUGACCAGGCGUUCAACUUCGGCAGCGGAUGCUCAAUGGCUACGCCGCACCUGGCGGGGAUUGCCGCGCUGCUCAUGAGCGCCCACCGGGACUGGUCGGUGGCCAUGAUCAAGUCGGCGAUCAUGACGACGGCGCUUACAAAGGACAAAGACGGGAGCCCAAUAAUGGACGAGCGGAGCGAGGAUAUGACGCGGCCCGCGAGCUUGCUCACCACGGGAGCCGGGCAGGUCAAUCCCUCGGCGGCCUACGAUCCGGGCCUCGUUUACGACAUCCAGCCAGAUGACUACGUCCGGUACCUCUGCGGACUGUACAGGAACAACGAUUUGACGGUCAGUGGGAUUGCUCGUCGGAAGGUCAGUUGUUCUGUCAUCGGGGGGAUUGCAGCUGAGGAUCUGAACUAUCCGUCUAUUUCGGUCAAGUUGUCAUUGGGGUCGGAGAAGAACAUAAGCCGAACCGCGACGAAUGUAGGGGAUGCCGCGUCGACGUACACGCCGGAGGUGAUCGAACCGGAAGGAGUGAGCGUGGAAGUAAACCCUGGAACGCUUGAAUUCGCAGCAGUUAUGGAGAAGAAGAGCUUCAACGUGACGCUCAAAGCAAAGAGCAAACUGCGGGGUGGGGGGCGCAGAGAAGGGUACUUGUAUUGGAAAUCAACUGAUGGCAAGUAUAGAGUUGGGAGUCCCAUUUUGGUGCAGUUCUAAGUAAAUAUUGUGAGUACAUCUCGUGUUGUUUCUUUUUCACACUUUGAUCAGUUGAUCACGCAGAAAGUUCUUAAUAAAAAAAAAAAAAGAUGAUAAUAUGGUUACGAAGUUGAAAAAUUAAGAUGAUAAUAUGGUUACGAAGUUGUACUGCACCGAAUACCUUGUAGGAAGUUUCAUCACCUAUCAUGUAUCUCCCUACAAUUUAGAUGUUUUAUAGUUAGCUUCAAUAUUGUAUUUUCUUUUAAGAAUUAAUUUAAUAAAAGUAAUCUAUGGACUUGUUUGGUUUCAUCUAAUUUAGACUUUCGAACCAGAUUGCGAUUCACUGAUUACAAUAAAAUAUUGUUUACUUUAGACAAAUCGAAUUUUGAUUCUCAUUCUAGCCUAAAAUGGAAAUGUUCCAAUCCAUUUACAACUUAAUUCGACUUCAAAUUCUAAAUUGAUCCAUUCAAAAAUAAAUCACUUAAGCCUUACCUCUCAAACAUCUCUACCUCCUCUCCCCUUAUCACUCUCCUCUUCUCUAUUAAAAUCAUUUCUCAAUUUUUUUUUUGUAUUUCAAUUACUCAUUAUAAUUUUCAUUCCAAUAAUAAAUCAAAUAAUUUAAAAUUUUUUUUUAUUAUUUUUCAUUUUAAGGCACUCAAAUUUUAUUUUUAUUUUCAUUCCAAUUAUAAGCUAAAUACGUCCUAAAAGGUACAUUUAACAAUAGUAAUUUAUUUUAUUAAUAUUUUUAUUUGUGAAACAAUGAAACUACAUCAUCCUCUUUGCAAGUAUUUGAUAUUGGCCCGAGAUUACCCGAUCUCUAGCAUAUGUUAAUCUAUUAACGAAAGUUUGGAACGAGCUACAAUGGCCUGUCUUUAGCUUCAUGCACCUUACUUUUCUCCUUUUUUCUACUUCCUCCCUCUUCCCCUAUCUUCCUUUUUUCACUUCUUCUUGCUAUUUUUUUUUACCUAUUUUCGGAGGUCGAAGCUGCUUUCAUUUUGUAUGCCUAAUUCAUUUUACUUAAUGAAUGAAGCAGGUAGCUCGCUACCUAUUUUUCAAAGAGCAAUGCUUCAAUACACCAUAGGUAUUAAAAUUAAACUCUUAAUUAGUAAAGGGUAUAGUUGGAUUUUACAUAAAAUAACCUAUUGAAUAGGUUGUCAAUUUGAAUUAGUUAAUAUGACAAUAUUGGAAAAAAAUUAGUAGCAUAUACUAAAAUUGUCAGCAUCUUUUAAUUAGUUUUGUUACUUACCAAAUUAGAUAAUACCCAAUUUGUUAAGUAUCAAACUCAAAAAAAUAUUGAAUUUAAAUUUAAGUUUUGAAGUUGGUAUUGUAAUGUAAAGUUUUAAUUUCAAAAUUUAUAUUAAACUUUUAAAUUUUGAACCUACAUUGUACUUUUAAUCUGAAAACCAAAUUUUAAUUUUUGAUUUAAAUUACAANCUACAUUGUACUUUUAAUCUGAAAACCAAAUUUUAAUUUUUGAUUUAAAUUACAAUUUUGAAUUUGAACUGAAAGUUUUUUUUAAAAUUUGUGUUUUAUAUUUAAAAAGUGAAUUUGAUUUAUAAUUAAGUUUGUUAUGUUGCUUUGCAUUUAAAUUUAUAAUUUAGUUGUAAUUUGAAUUCCAACUAUUGUUGUAGGUAUUUGAGAAGGUUAUAGUAUUUUUUAGUUAGAUUGAACCGGUUUUGUAGGCGAAAAUAUUUUUCUAUGACCAAAAUACCCUUUAAAUAGGUACCUGGUGAAUGGUACCUAUGCCUAAAUAGUAAGUCGUCUCUAGAAUCAUAUUACAUCUCAACCAUCUAUGUAAAAAAAUAAAUGGUCAAGAUUUACAUAAGAUUUAGAUGGUGUAUUGAAGUAUUACUCUUUUUCAAAAAAAAAAAAGAUAUUGGCCCGAAACAAUUUCAUUUUCCGGGCAGCACCCUCCGACGCUACCCGAUCUCUAGCACGUGUUAAUCUAUUAAUGAUGGCUUAGAACGAGCUACAAUGACCUGUCUUUAGCUUCCUGUACCUUACUUUUCUCCUUUUUUCUACUUCCUCCCUCCUCCCCUAUCUUUUUUUUUUCACUUCUUCUAGCUAUUUUUUUUACCUGUUUUCGGAGGCCGAAGUUGCUUCCACUUUUUAUGCCUAGUUCAUUUUAUUUAAUAAAUGAAGCAGAUAGCUCGCUAUCUAUUUCUCAAAAAAAAAAAGAUAAUGCCCCGAGACUCCAAAAUAGUAUUUACAAGUUCCGUACGUGUUAGCCAUGAUAUCAUUGAUAUGGAGCAAGUCAGGGUGCUAUAUAUUUUGCCCACUUUAAGUGAAAAUGUAACCUUAAACUUAUUUUUAUUCAUUAAUGAGAAAAUAUAUUCACUUCAAUAGUUCAUUUUUGAAAUAAAUUAUCAAACUUUUGAUAUAUUAUUUUACAUAAUAUUUGCUUUAAUUUGAUCAUGGGUUAGUUUUUUGGCUCAUUAAGUUUAAAUUAUUUAAAAGAUUAUUCUUAAUUCUAUUAAAUUUCAUGAUUUCAAGUACUCUUAAUCUAAAGAAAGUAAAGAUCCCAACGAUAAUUAAUGUAGCAAUAGAUAUUAAAGUGAAUUAACUAAAACAUAUAAAUUGAAAUAAAAAAUAGUCAAUCAAUACAAAAAAAGUCUGAUAAUCUAUUUCAAAAGAAAAUUGAUAUUGUCAAAAUUAUUCUUUAAUAUCGUCAGAAUAAACAAUAUUUAAAUCAUAAUUAAAUAUUCUAAUGUUUAUUCAGACAAUAUCAAAAGUAGUUUUGACAACAUUAGAUUAAUUCCAAUUCAAAAUUCGAAUCAUAUAUUUUUCAUUUCCCAAUUUAAGGCGAAUACGUGACAGGGUCAGUUGCAGCGGGCACAUCGAUCCGCAAUCACUCAGACGCUCUCGUCAAUCUCAUCAAGCUAGCAACAUAGAGAAGGAAAAAAAUUACUGCACCACAACAACAGGGAAAAAUUGAAUCCAACAAAAUAAAACUUGACUACUACUACUUGGUUUUGCUCGUUUUGUUUUGCUUCAGUUUGGCCAAAUAUAGAUACUCCGACUUUAGAGCAGCACAUUUAUUUUGUAGUUUGAAUCAAAAUUGAAAAAUAAAAUCAUAAUGACGAACAGACUUAAAAUUUUUUUUUUUUUUUGAGAAAAAAAUAGCAAGCUAUUUGCUUCAUUCAUUAAGUGAUAUGAACUAAGCGCACAAAAUGAAAUCAGCUAAGACUUCCAAAAAGCAGGCAAAAAGUGGUAGAGAUAAGAAGCAAGAAAGAAGUGGGUAGGUGGGAAAAGAGAGAGAAGAGAGAGAAACUAGUGACAUGUCGGUCCAAUUUUCCAUUGUUACUGUAUUCACUCAACCUUGGAGACAGCCUUUGUCUGACAGUAUCGCAAAACGAUGGUUUCGACUAAGGCGGUUGGCUACUGGACAAAAUCUAAUUGACAUCGACCUUGCUAUUGCAGCGACUUAUUGGGAGCUCUGGAAAGAAAGGAAUAGAAGAUUAUUCGAUAAUCUGCAGGUCCGAAGCGACGUCCUGGGUAGAUGCAUUUUUGAAACAGUCUCAUGUUGGAAGUCGGCUUUUUGCUCUUUUGGCUGUUAGGUGCUUAUUUUGUUUGUGUCUGUGUUACCUUGUAUUUUGUUCGCUGCUUUGUUUGCUGUUUGGUUUCUGUCUUGGAUCCUAAGGGGAUGCUCAUGGGACCUUUCAUUGGUUGCAAGUGCUAGGAUGCACCUUGUUCUCUUCUGAUCCUCCCUCUGUAAAAUAGGGUUCAUCCCUGUUUAAUCAAAAAAAAAAAAAAUUCCAUUGUUACAGUGAAAUAGAUUCAAACUAUAAAGAUCAAAUUAAAUAGCAGGAUUACUAAUCAAAUGUGCUCCUUUGUUUCAGUUUGAUGGAGAGCAUGGAUAGAGCAAUCUAAGAUCCUUGUUUCUACAGAGGACACGAGCACUUUCAGUAUGUAACUAGUUUUGUUAGGUUCUUCAAUUUCUUGGAUCACAAUCCUUUUGUCCCAUGGCUAUAGUUUAUCGAGUGAUUAUUGGCAUUAGGAUAUGCUUGUUAAAGAUCUUGGCCUACUCACUGAUUUUUAGUUUGUCUAACUUCGCUUUAUUGAGCAUGAUCCAAUUAUUUGUGAGAUUACAAGUGCAAACGAUGUACCCUCCUUUUGCAGCAUCCAAUACAAUUUCUUUUAUGGUGUCUCGGAAGCAUGAAAAACCAUCACUUCUGAACAAUCACUAAUUAAUUCUAGGUACCGACCAUUCUAGAGCAACUGGUGAAGGAUUUGAUGUUUGGUAUCCGAGACCCAAGUUUGAAUCCUAGUUGAUUCACAUUUCCCGCUAAGUUUAUUUCUAAAUGAAAUAAAUGAAGCGGGUAGCAUGCUAUCUUUCUCUCAAAAAAAUAAAAAAUAAAAAAAAUAAUUAAUUCUAGGUGGACAUUGACCGUCACUAGCAUAAAUAGUAUAGGAUUUAAAGACAAUGGUUAGUAUUUGAGGUCCAAAUGUUAAAUUCUAAUUGUUUUAUAUUUUCAACUAAAUUUAAUUUUUAAAAAAAUAAACGAAGCGACUAACAUAAUACCUUUACCUCUCCCCCUUUAAAAAAGAAAAGAGAGAAAAUUCUAGAAUUAACGGACCACAGCUAAUACAAUUGGCUUACUUAAUUAUACUUUAUUAUAUUAUAUUUUGUGAUCUUUUACACGUUGAUAACCUUCUUUUCGCAGUGACCAAUGAGUUGUUAUUAAUAUUUUUAAUUAUUAAUAAACCUACGAUUUUGGUCGGGUCUAAGGAGUAUUAUGAAAAAAAUGCUACCUGUAAAGGAGAGAAAAUGAUUGAGCACCAUUUGACAGAUGUUUUAUAUAUAUUUUUAAGCGGAAUCUAUCAAAAACUUAUGCCAAAAAAAGAACAUAUAUAAUCGGCUGACUUUGAUUGAGCGCAUUUACACAACUUGAUUUUAAAUUUUUAGACUUUAAUUUGACAAUUUAAAAUGAAUUUAAUAUUUUAAAUUUUAAGUUUAGUUUUAUUAUAUUUAUUUUUAAACUCCAUCAGAAUAAUAAAAAAGAAACAGAUAGAGAGAUAUUGCGUUCUAUUUCCAAUUUUAAUUCUUAUUUAGGCGAGACAUGUCCAUCGAGUCUAAAAAAAACCUCUUCUGAAACGAAAAGUUAUUUUAAAAAAACGAAAUAUUAUUAUUUUAAUAUUUUACGUUUAAAAGUUUGUACGAUAUAAUAAAUAGUGAUCGAGCUAAGUAACAAACAAUCAUUUUAGAAGUGUAAUCCUCAUUUAAAUCCUUCAAUGUAGAAUCCAAAGCAAUUGACCAUUAUUGUAUAUACAUUUAUUUAAACUGCCUCCUUAGUUGGUUGCGUCAAACUGUGUCUUCCGCCAAAAUUAUGGCGAAGAAGAAACUUCCCUUUCCCUCCUUCUUCGUCUCCGUUACAUUAUUUCUAACAUGUUUUCAACCAUGCAUGAUCGAGAGCAAUCCCCUCUCCAUUGUUGAUCCUGAUGAGGGAGACGAUCUCUACAUCAUCACCGUCGUCCCCCCGGACGGCGACAUCGACCUCCUCGGCGCCGAAGAGCUCGAGCAAUACCACCUCUCCUUCCUGCCCAACUCCACCCUCGACUCCGGCGCCCCGCGUCUCGUCCGCUCCUUCCGCCACGCCUUCAGCGGCUUCGCGGCGAGGCUGACCCCCGUGGAAGCCGCCGCCGUCAAAGUGGUGGACGGCGUCGUCUCCGUCCAGGAAAACCGGAUUACGCCGCUCGGGACUACUUACACCCCGACGUUCCUGGGCCUGAAUGGAUACAACGGCAUCUGGUACAAGACUAAAGGGGAGGGCGUAAUCAUCGGUGUCCUCGACACCGGCAUCUCCCGGAACCACGUGUCGUUCGCCGACGACAAGAUGCCGCCGCCCCCUGCGAAGUGGCGCGGCUGCUGCGAGUUUGUCACCAGCAAGUGCGACCCCUUUGUGCCGACGGUGUGCAGUAACAAGCUCCUCGGUGCACGGAAGCUGAUCUACAAAUCACCCGAGGAUGAGUCUGGGCACGGUAGUCAUUGUUCUAGCAUAGCUGCGGGGAACUAUGUUCAAAGUGCCGAGGUGCGUGGCCACGCUGAGGGCACCGCGGCGGGCAUGGCCCCGCGGGCGCACAUCGCAACAUACAAGAUUUGCGGCGGCGCGAACCAGUGCUUUUCUUUCUCACAAGCCAGCGGCCUGGACCAGGCUAUCGCUGACGGAGUCGACGUGCUGUCCCUCUCCAUCGACUCCUACCCGGAGCGUCUGCACGAGAGCAACAUCGCCAAGGCGUCGUUCGUCGCGAUGGAGAAGGGCAUCUUCACGAGCGCGUGCGCGGGGAACUCCAUGGGGAACGUCCGGAAGGAGGUGGUGAACGACGCCCCAUGGAUCCUGACUGUCGGCGCCAGCACGACCGACCGAAGGGUGCGCGCGGUCGUGCGGCUCGGCAACGGUAUGGAGUUUUACGGCGAGUCUGCGUAUCCUUUAGAAAUCUCAAACGGGACAGGAACAGUGCCGCUCGUUUACCCGGGGAAAGUGGAUAACACGCCUGCGAGGCUUGGCUGCAUGAAAGAGGGGCUGAGUGGUUUGAACGUUACAGGGAAGAUCGUGCUGUGCGCCGUCGGAGAGAUCGAGAAUCACGAGAAAGUGGAGAUCGUGAAAAAGGCUGGGGGAGUCGGCGUAAUAUUGCUCGGCCAAAAAUGGAACGGGCAGACCACGUACGCCGAAUCACUCGAACUUCCUUCGGUCUGGAUGGGCAACCUCGACACUGUCGAGAUUGUGAACUACGCUCUGAACACCGACGAUGCCACCGGGGAGAUUGCUUUCCAAGGCACGCAGUUCGGCUACCGACCGGCCCCUGCGGUCGCCGGGUUGUCGGUAACGGGACCGAGCAAGUACAACGGCGGCAUCCUGAAGCCCGACAUUCUGGGGCCGGGCAUCAACAUCCUCGCCGCCUGGCACAAGCAGGUCGGGCCAAGUCCCACCGGCUCUGACGACCGGGCAUUCAACUUCGGUAGCGGAUGCUCCAUGGCCACGCCACACCUGGCCGGGAUCGCCGCGCUGCUCAUGAGCGCCCACCGGGACUGGUCGGUGGCCAUGAUCAAGUCGGCGAUCAUGACGACGGCGCUUACAAAGGACAAAGACGGGAACCCGAUAAUCGACGAGCGGAACGAGAACGUGACGCAGCCGGCGAGCUUGCUCACCACGGGAGCCGGGCAGGUCAAUCCCUCGGCGGCCUAUGAUCCUGGCCUCGUUUACGACAUCCAGCCGCACGACUACGUCCGGUACCUCUGCGGACGGUACAACGACGACAACCUGGUCAGCGGGAUUACUCGUCGGAAGGUUCAUUGUUCCGUCGUCGGGCGUAUCACCGCUGAGAAUCUGAACUAUCCGUCUAUUUCGGUCAAGAUGGGGUCGGGAUCGGAGAAGACCAUAUACCGAACCGUGACGAAUGUAGGGGAUGCCGCAUCGACAUACGCGGCUGAGGUGAUCGAACCGGAGGGAGUGAGCGUGGAGGUGAAUCCCGGAACGCUUGAAUUCGCUGCAGCUAUGGAGAAUAAGAGCUUCAACGUGACGCUCAAAGCAAAGAGCAAAAUGCGGUGGGGGGAGCAUAGAGAAGGGUACUUGUAUUGGAAAUCAGCUGAUGGCAAGUAUAAAGUUGGUAGUCCCAUUCUGGUGCAGUACUGAGUGUUCUAUUUACAUCUCGUGUUGUUUCUUGUUCACAUUUUGAUCACGCAAAGAUUAUGUGCUAAAAAAAUAAUAAUAAUCUGUUUUAUAGAGAGAGUUUUGUGUUGGGUGGUAGGCCCCCAAAUCCCUUUUGCAGCAUCCAAGACAUUUUUUAUGGUGUCUCACAAGCAUGGUGUACCAUUACUUCUAAAAAGACCAAUAAUUCUAAGCUUAAUUAUACUCCACCAUAUUAUGCUUUGUGGUAUUCUUUUGAAUUUAUUAUACUUUACUAAUCAUUUUUUCAAAGUCUCCAUUAAGUUUUUUUAUUUAAUCUCUAAGGUAUAUGUUUAUAAUAAAUCUACUGUUUUAAAUGGAAGCGAGCUUCUUAAAAAACUCUAGUUAGAUUUAGUAGCCAAUUCAAUAUUGGAGGAGAAAUGCUAAGUUUGCACAAUCCAACAACCCUCAUCCAAGAAUGCAUAGAAUUUAUUUAUUUUAGUUCUUAAUUAGAAGAACAAAAGAGAGAGCUAGUGAAAAAAGAAAAUAAUUGGCCUUCGGAUAGAAAUUGCAUGACAAUAUUUCAUAUAUUAUUUAUUAAACAGAGAUGCCAAUACAAUAUUUGGCCAUUCCAUAUGUCAUAAUUAUAAUAGUCUGGCCGUCAUGGUAUUUAUUUAUGCCAUUUAAAAGGGUUAAUUACAUACACAUUCCUGCAAAUAUAGAUGAAUUACAGAGAUAUUCCUAUAAAGCUCAACUUUUAUAAGUUAUAUCUGCAAAAGUUCUAAUGUAUUUAGAUAUGUCCUUCUGUUUAGGAUCUGUUAGAGAGCUAUUAAUUUUUUAACAGUCGAGUUGUGAAAUGAUAAUUUUGCCCUUGCCCUUUUCCUCUUCCUCUUUCUCUUCAGGCUGUGGGAGCGGACGACAGCGACGGCUAUCUUGCGGAGCUUGUCGGGGUUGUAGCCAACGAGGACGAGGAAGAGGCGAAAGGCAAAGGCACGGUGCCGUCAGAGGCACCCGGGACGACGGCCCACGUGGGCACCACAACGAUGACGACAUUGGAUCAUCGACGACAAUGACGAAGAAGAAGAAUAAGGAGGAGGAAAAGGAGGAUAUAGAGAAAAAGAGGAAGAAGAAGAACAGGAGAGGAAGAGGAAGAGGAAGAAGAAAAAUGACAAAAUUAUUAAUUCACAUUAUUAAUUAAGUAUGGUUAAGUAUUUUAACUGUUGUUAAAAAAAUUUCUUUAAUGGACCCUAACAGUAUGGACAUAUCUGAAUACAUUAGGACUUUUGCAGGGAUAACUUAUGAAAGUUAAUUUUUACAGGAAUGUAUCUAUAAUUCGUCAUGUUUGCAGUGACGUGCAUGUAAUUAAUCCUUUAAAAAAUGUAUCCAUUUCAAUACACCAUUUUAAAGUAAGUUCUUUAACUUCUAAUUCUUUGUUUGAUUAAUAUUUGCUCAACUUUUAUGUGUUUUGGUUUGAGUUAUAUCUUGAUUUAUUGAAUGAAAAAUAUUGUAAAUUUAAUCAGUAAGUUUGUCAAAUUUUAUUACACUAAGGGCUUGUUUGGUUCAAGGGUAGAAUUGGAAUGGAUAAUGGAAUGUGAAUGAAUUUGAAUGGUAAUUGGAAUGGCCUACUCUCCCAAGACGUUUGGUUUAUUUGUGGAUUGGGAAUUGGAAUGAGUUAUUCACAUUUCAUUGUUUGGUUCGUACAAACUAAAAAAAUUAUAGGAUACUGUAAUACUAAUUUUACUCUCAAAUAUAACUUUAUAUUAUUUAAAAUUUAUAAAAAAUAUAAUACUAUUCUCUAAUAAGUUAUUCAAAAAAAUAUCAAAUUUAUUUUUAAAAACUUUUAUUGAUGUGGGUUAGGAAUAGGAUUUUGAGAGAUGAUAGGUUUUUUUUUUUUUUUUUGAUGAGAAAGGGGUGAAGAGAAGAAGGGUGAGAUGGUCACAUGGGCUUUGAGAAUUUAGUGGGCUUUCAGAAUGAAAUCUCAAUCCGGGUUAGAAGACCGGAAUCAAGUUGAAGGCUAAUGGGUCAUUCCCAUUUCAGUCCGGAAUAUGAAUCCCAAACCGAUUCAUACGAACCAAACAAAAUUAACCGGAUUUGAUCAAACCGAUUCCCAUUCCAUACCCAAAAUGGAUGAACCAAACAAGCCCUAACUGUUAUCGAUAUGAAAUAGAGUAAAGAGACCUAACAAUUAAUGUUCAAUUAGCAAGCAUCGAGUAAUUGUAACAUAGAAUUAAGAAGCAAAUAUAGAUGAGCUAGGUAGCAUGAUAUACCAUCGAUAACACGGAUACCUCCGCACUAUCAAGUUGUUUACAAUGAUGCGACUUUCAAAUCGAUAAUCAGUUUCGUUAGAUUUGAUCUACAUUAUUGAAAAUAUUUGAAAAUUAAAUUUUAUAAUUUUUUGAUAUCAUUUGACUAGUGAUCAAAAGAUUUCAAAAUUGAUAAUUUUAAUGAUCGACGUGAUGCGUUUAUGAAUUUAAUGGAGUAAAACAAUUUAAAUAUGAUGAAAUUUUUAUAGUUUUUUUUUUUUUUCACUUUUUAGAGUAAGAUCAAUAUUUUUAAUCUAAAAUUCAAGUUUUUUUUUUAAUAAAAAUUAUAUUUUUAGCCAUUCGUUUUUAGACUACUCGAUUGAUAAAUGAAUGAUGUCGAAAAAUUAUAAAAUUUAGUUUUCAAAUGCUUUUAAUAAUAUAGAUCAAGUCUAGCAGAGCGCCGAUCGUUAAUUUGAAAGUUGAAUCAUUAAAACUAUCUUGAUAGUACAGAGAUCUCUCAAUAUAGAUUACUAGCCGUUCCUACUGCAAGUGACAAAAAAAUUAAUAGUUUGCGUUCGAAAUCACAAGUUUGAAGCCUAAUUGUUUCACAUUUUUAAGUAAAGUUUUUUUUAUGGAAAACAUAAUGAUCAUGCAAAUAGAUUUGGGGUGAUAAAGCUUCUGUCCCAAUCCGCUCUGACGGUGUGUUUGUUUGGGUGAAAGUGAGAAGGAAGUGGAGAGGGGGGAAGUUGUUUACGCCGUAAACUAUCACUUCCGUUGUUUGUUUUGCCGUAACUUUAGUACGGCCGAAAAUCAAGUUCACCCAAAAUAGGGUAAUUGACUUCGCCCUCCCACGGGGCGAAGUCAAUUCCGGUGAAGUGCAAAGAGAUAAAGAAGCUUGUUAAAUUUGGUUAGGCAAUGUGAUCAAAUUUGGUUAGGUAAAUUUUAAUAUAUUUUUUGUCUAAUUUGUAUAUUUAGAAAAUGAUGAAAAAUGAAUUUGUUAAAUGUUAAUAGUUUUUUAACUUUAGAAUUUUAUUUGUUGCAUUAUUAUAAUUUAUAUGCAAACAAAUAAUAUAAUUUUUUAAAAUUUUAUUUUAUAAUUAUACAUAUAUAUAAUUAUAUACAUAUAUAAUUAUAUUAAUUUUUAUUUAUUAUAAUUUAUUAUUUACUAAGUUACAAAAUAGACAAUAAUAUCAUUUCGGAGGUAAGUAUAUCAGGGAUAGAGAACUAUACUUUCUACGUCAUCUAUUUCUUACCAAACAAAUAAUAGAACUUGCAGAACUGCACUUCCACAGUUAGAAAUAAAUAACGGAAGUGAAUUAAUUUUUAUCUAAACUCCACUUUAACUCAAAAUCCACUUUCAUUCUAAGUCUACUUACGUUGAAACAAAUAUGUCCUAGAUGGAGCGAAAAGUGGAGCCCAAAUUUUUUAAAAAUAUACAUUUGGACAUAUACCUAAAUGGAGUGGAAGAUGGUGACGCCUUUUCUUUCUUUGAUUCGAACUUUUUCGUCAAAAAGCAGCUUUUGUCCCAUUCCACUUUGAAUAAAACAGUAAGUUAAAUAAAAAAUAUAGUAUAAAUUAAUUUUUUCUAAAUUAGCUCUUACUUUGUCAAGAAAAACAGGACGAGAAGAGAAGGGCUUAUGCCGUCUUCGGAUUCGUUGCGUUUGCAUUUUAUUUUUUUCUCUCUCAAAAAAAAAAAAAAAGACAAUUAAACUAUAGAUCAAAUUUAAAAAUAAUCAGUAUAAGGAUCUGUUUCAAAAUGUGCAUCUCUCUCGAGAAAUAAAAAAAAAAGGACAACAAAACAUAGAUCAAAAUUUUAAAAUAAUCAGUUAGGACCUGUUUCAAAAUGCGCAUUAAAUAAUUAUUUAAGGCGAAUGCGUGACCCAGCGUGCAGUGUGCACGUCCUCAAUUACGCGGACUCCGGAGCUCCAAUCCAACGGCUGUAGCCAAUCUCAUCCAACGGGUCACAAUCUCGCGUUCGUCCAACGCUAACAGUAGAAAGAUGGAAAAAGAAACCUCCUAUUUAGACCCAUAUAUAAAACCCGAAACAAUUAAAGAAACAAAAAUAAAAAAAAAAAGAUCGAAAACCUCCUAUUUAGAUAUUAGGGUUUUCGCUCCCCCCGUCUCCAAAUAAAUCUCUCUCUCUCUCUCUCUCUCUCUCUCUCUCUCUCUCUUGUUCCUCUCCUCGCCACCGCCACCGCUCCUGCUCCUGCUCCUGCUUUUGUCCCCUCCCUCUUCUUCUCGCGAUCUACUGGUGUUUAUAAUGGUAAGCAUCGCUCUCGAUCUCGUUUUGGAUAUACGGUAGGGUUUUCGGGGUUGUUGAUCUUUCAUGCGAUUUUUUUUUUCUCGCGUCGUUUUUUCUUGUAGGCGUUGCCGAAUCAGCAAACGGUCGAUUACCCUAGCUUCAAGCUCGUGUUGGUCGGCGAUGGAGGAACUGGUGACGAUCUCUACCUUUUCUUCUUUUUUUGUUUUGGGAAUUUUUCUUCAUUUACCGCGUUAGGGUUUGGAUUUUUCCUCUUGAUGUUCCGGUAUUGUAGCUUCGGUUUGUCCCUUUCAUCAGAAAAGUGAAGGAAAAAAAAUUCUUUUUGAGGAUUUUUUUGUUGAUUUUGUGUUUCGGGCAUCUUUGAAUGUUCUUUGAGGCCGUUGCCUACUAUUUUGCUUGUUUUGUCUGAAGAACGAAACACUAAUUUUCGAUUUUUGGUUAUUUGGAUGGUAAUUAUCGCAACUGAAUUUUACGUAUCGUUUAUUUGGCUAAUUUUUUUCUCUUUGAUCCAUUUUAUCUUAUUUUUAAUUAUUUUUCUCACCGAUCUAUCUAUGUUCAUGAUCCCAUUUAGUACUUUUUCUAAAUUUUCUUAACAUCUAUUUCAGAUUGUUAUGUUCUUCUUAAAUUUCAGAUUGUUUUGUUCUUCUUAAAUUAUUGAUAUUUUCUUUCCUUUAUAUAAUUUAGAUCUAGAUGGUGUAAAUAUCUUUUUGGAAUUUCAUAUUCAAGAAGAGCAACUUUUUUGGUUUUUGAUAUGCAGGUAAAACCACAUUUGUUAAGAGGCAUCUCACUGGAGAGUUCGAGAAGAAGUACGAACGUACGUAUCAUACGAAUCAUAUGGAUUAAGAGACGUGUUUUUCCAUUUCCUUUCCGUUUUAUAAGAAUAUUUGAACCAAACAUUGUUUUUCCGUUUAUAUUGCAGCUACCAUUGGUGUUGAAGUUCAUCCAUUGGACUUCUUCACCAAUUGUGGGAAGAUCCGGUUUUAUUGCUGGGAUACAGCUGGUCAGGAAAAGUUUGGUGGCCUUAGGGAUGGAUACUAGUAAGUUAUUGAACAAGCACUGUUGCCGAUUAUAAUGGUAAAUAAGUAAGAAGUGUAAGCGCAUAAGCGCAAAGAAGGAAAUAAAAGAAGAAAGAACUCUCAUAUUUUUGGCCCUUUGAGAUGAUCACUGAAUGAAAAUGAGGACAAUGUAAUUUUGAUGUUGUGGCAAAGUAAUUUUUAAUUAGAAGCGUUUAACCAACAUCGACAUUCCGAUAGAUGGCCACUAUAUUCACAAUGUUUGAAUGAGUUUUAAACAUAUGAUUAGUAGUGUACUACAUGUUCUUUAGAUAUAGUGUUUAUGAGGUGUAGAAAUCUCCAUCUAAGUAGUUCAAUGGUUUGUGAUAAAAUCACUGAUCGUAUAUCCACUUGAAUAAGAACAAAUAUGAAUGUGGUUAUUGAAUCUUAAAUUAUAGAAUCAUUAAGAAUAGAUCAUUCAAGAAUAUAUGUGUAAUUUUUUUCUGGAGGAAUAUAAAUAUUCAGAUUGUCUUUUUCUUUAUAUUGCAUGAUUUAUAGCAAUCUAUUGUUGAGAAACUAAUGUAUAAUAAUGAAAUAUACAUUGUCUGUUUAUAUUAAUGCUUUCUUUAUACUGUGUUAAGUUAGAGAUGUUACAUAAUAGGAUCGACCAAUUUCACAAUGAAAUGAGAAAAUGUAUUUCACACAUCAGUUAUGCGUAACUAGUCUCUAUUACACAUGUAAAUCAAUUUUCAAAAUGAGAAUUUAAUGUGCAAGCUUAUGAAGGCAGGGCCUGCUAUUUGGCUCCUCUGAUGGCAUUACUUGGCAUGUGGUUUUUAGUUCAGCAUUGUCUCUAUUGUCUCUAAUGCUUAUCUACUACUAUAUGAUGGUUACUUCUUGUUUGAACUGGAGCUAUCAGAAAUUCUAUGCAUAGUGAGAACCAAAUGUGGGCCUUCGUUGCUGUUCUUCUUUCUUUUUUAUUUUUAUAAUAGCAGUUUAUUCUCAUUAAUUCUGAUCUGUCUUGCAUUCCUUUCUUCAGCAUCCACGGCCAGUGUGCUAUAAUAAUGUUCGACGUGACUGCAAGAUUGACGUACAAAAAUGUUCCAACUUGGCACCGUGAUUUGUGCAGGUUUGUUUCUGUGCAUGCACCUGAUUGAACAAUAUUGUUAUAGCUACAAUCCUAAAUGCUUCUCUGUUCGUGAUGCCAGGGUCUGCGAAAACAUCCCAAUUGUGCUUUGUGGUAACAAAGUUGAUGUGAAGAAUAGGCAGGUCAAAGCAAAGCAAGUUACCUUCCACAGGAAGAAGAACCUGCAAUACUACGAGAUUUCAGCAAAGAGCAAUUACAACUUCGAGAAGCCCUUCUUGUAUCUUGCUAGGAAACUUUCUGGGUAAACUAGUAGUUACAACUUUCUUCUUUGUUUUAUCAUUACAAGAUUAUGCAUUUGCAUUUGAUACUAAAUUCUUGUUGAUAUUGUUAGGGAUCCGAAUCUUCACUUUGUCGAAUCCCCUGCUCUUGCUCCUCCAGAGGUGCAUAUCGACUUGGUUGCCCAGCAGCAGUAAGUGUUCUACACAGAAAUGUGUACUUAUAGACCUGCAAAGCAAAAUGAAUUUUCUUACAUGCUUUUCAACACAUUGGUUUAUUGCUUGCAAACUUGUCCUCAAUACUUUCAAGGAUUCCCUCUUAUAAGAAAACACUUGUUCAAUACAUGUGUACUUCUAGACCUGCAAAAUGAAUUUUCUUACAUGCUUUUCAACCCAUUGGUUUAUUGCUUGCAAACUUUUUCUCAAUACUUUCAAGGAUUCCCUCUUAUAAGAAAACACUUGUUCAAUACAAAACCAAUUUGCUCAUGUUUUAGCAACUCCCGGACGGCAGGUUUUUAUUGGAAACUACAUUUUCAAGCAUUUAUGUUGUGACAAUUUAGAUUCUGCAUUAGUGUAUCUAUUUGUAAAUAGCUGAUUUUGCUAGAUAUAUAUGUAAUAUCCUUGUUUUUUUUUUUCCGGCCAUUCACUUAGAUUUUAUUACUGUGGAAAGGCUAUCGAAAAAUGUUUUGCUAUUGGUUGUGAUUGCUGGCUUUGAAAUUUUAUCAUUGCUGGUCUACUGAUCCAAGCACAUCAUCUAGUUAGGUAGAAGAAAAAUGUUCCCGACCCACAAUCUCUCACUCUUUUCCAAUAAUUUCCCUUCUCUGCAGGUACGAAGCGGAAAUUGCGGCCGCCGCCGCGCAGCCUCUUCCUGACGACGACGAUGAUCUCAUUGAUUAACUUAAGUCCGCCUUUUUCCAUUCGUCGCAAUGUGGUGAGGUUUGCUCAGAGUAAUAUAAUCGGGGUAUGUUUCGGUGGAGAUCUUGUCUUUGGGACAAUGUUAGACUUUAGUAGCCGGCCUGUGAGUUUGUUGGACUCCUACUAUGCGGAGAAGUGUUAUAGAUGAUCUUUCGCUCAUUUCAUUGGAGCAGUAUACAUUCCUUUUCAUGAAUUUGUUUAAUUGGUGCUGUGCUUCAGUUGGCAGAGUUGUUUGUUUGAUUUCUGGGAAAUUGUUGUUUUCUGGUUUGCUCUUUACUUAAUUCUAGUUUUGUGGUUGGGUUUUGUCGAAUCCAACGCUGGUUUACUAUUUUUUCUACCAUGGCUUCCAGAAAAUAGUUUUUUGACUUUAAAAAGUUUUUUUGCUUCCCUCUUCGUUUUGGUUUUUCAGCAAGCAGCUUCUCUUGAAUUUUUUUUUUUCGUUUUUCAGGUUUUAUGUAAGAGUAAUUUUAAAGCUCAUAUAUGGAUAAUAAUAUAUAUACAGUAGGAGGUCCCUUACACGCAUGUUGCGUUGCUCUGGCUCUAAUAACGGCCCACAGCCGUGACUCGGGGUCUUGCCAAAAUGGAGAAAAAAGGAUUUUUUUUUAAAAAAAAUACAAUUGCGGGGACCAAUUUUCUAUCUUGAAAGUAAAUGGAAGUGUGCCAUGGACUUCGUUUCUUGAGUUAAACUCUGAACAUCGCAAAUAUUGUUGUUAGUUUUUAUUCGUUUGAUUAGCUCGUCAACUAGAUAUCUGGUUUCCUGAAAGGAUCGACUGAUGUAUUUUGUUACAUGCGAUGAAGAAGUUGAAAAAAAAGAUUUUUCAUUUUUUUUUUAAAAAAAAGUAAGAGAAGAUGCUGCAUAUGAAAAUCGCAGGUUCCGUUAAUUAGUAACUAUAAAUGAAAGCUAAAUAAAUAGAAACUUGUAAUAAAUACAAAUGAAAGCUAAAUAAAUUAAGUUAUGGCAAUAUUUAAUCAGGUGCUUUCGUUGCCGUUUAUCAAGUUUUUUGUAGAAAAAUCUCAAAGCCACGUAAUUGGGUGCGUGGCAUAUAUUAUAUUAUUUAGGCCGAAUUACACCAUGGCGUGGCUCGACACGCCGCGGGUCAAUGCCGUGCCGGACUCUGUUUUUCCAAAUCAUGUCUGGGCACGGCCCCUGCUCCAGAUAAGUCCACACUAGCCUGUGUCGUGGCGGCCUACAGACCGAUCUUUUUUUUAUGUAUAUAUAUAAUAUAAAAAAGAAUCGGACAUAUAAGCUCCAAAAAAGAAGUGUAAAUCUUACACUCUUUAUCAUAAAAUUCAUAAAUUCAAUUAAUUUUAGUUAAAAAAGAAUAAAAAAAAUAAAAGGUUGGUGUGACAAAGUAAGGAAUAAUGGUUUUUAGAGGAAGAGGAUGUAAGAUAUAUUUUUCUAUAAAGUAGAUAUAAUUUUUUAUUCAAAAUAAAUAAGUAAUUUAAAUUACUUAUUUAGUGAGCCACAAUCUUCAUCUUGCGGGCCGACGGGAGGGAUCAAUGGGCCUAAUAACGGCCCGAAUCGGGGAAGAACCGGGCCGGCCCGUGUUACACCUACUUAUUGGGACCUUAUUAUUUAUCCUCUCUCUCUCUCUCUCUCUCUCUCUCUCUCUCGGCGCUCGUCUCCGUCACCGCGUCGUCGUCGUCGUCGUCGUCGUCGUCGUCGUCGUCGUCGUCGAUCCUUCGCUGGUAACUCCUCUCUCUCUCUCUCUCUCUCUCUCUCUCUCUCUUCGAUCAGGGCACUUCGUCUUAAAAACAAAUCAGUAAAUAAAAUGGCGAUUCUACUUUUCCUUUAUUAUUAUUGUUGGGUGUAGAAUUUAAUAUACAUCGGUCGAGAUCGAUGGAGGAACAGUUCAUACUUCGGGUUCCGCCCUCCGUGGCCGAACGAAUUGAGCGCCUUCUCAACGAGAAUGCUUCGUCCUCUGAAGAUGGCUCGCUCGAUUUAUCCUUCUCAGGUAUACACCUAACCGAGCUUCUUUACCUUCUCAUGUCAUGUAUUGAACGGAGUGAAUGAAAAAGAUUCAGUAAAUUUUUCUGUUGAAUAGCAUGAUCUGUACAUGGUCGGUGGCCGCAGAGUGAGUGAGUUUUCAUUUUCUGGCUAUCAACUUUUCAUUGCUGAUGUUUUCGUUCAGAUCUAAUAUUAAAUCUGAGAUUGGUCCUCUGAUGAAGAUGCGAGCUCUUAACUAAUGGAAAUAGUUUAAAAUUCCGCCUUCUAAUAACACUGUGUAGGGAUUGACGUAGAAUCUGAAGUCCUGUUGAGAUUUUUAUUUGUCGUAAUGAAACUGAACAUGGUAAUCAAGCACUUCCCCUCUAUUUUCCACCUUUUACUGUCGCAGCCGCUUGCUGCUUUUGCUUCUAAAUUUGUUUAUCAAAUUAUGUCUGUUAUUCAUUUGACCGUCCUGUGAAAAUCGUAGAGGAUGGAAGAAACGGCACAUUCAUGAUCGGAAACGAAAGUUUUCCUGCCUCUCUCUUGGAUCUGCCUACCAUUGUGGAGUCCUAUAAAACAUACGAUGAUACAGUCCUAAUCAAAACGGCCGACGUUGGCCAGGUAGAAGUUUUAGCUAUCUGCAGAUGUGGAACGUUCGGAACUGAAUCUGGUCAGUUUAAAACAGGUAAUUAUGGUAAGAGAAGAUGGUGAUCCUGCUCCCGAAGGAGUCGAAUACAAGCACGGCCUCACCCCUCCGAUGAGGGACGCUCGUCGGCGGCGGUUCCGCCGAGAACCCGACCUGAAUGUAUUUGAAUAACAUAUCCUUUUGUUCUCUCUAAUCUUACAUGCUUGGUAUAUGACGUCAUUUAAUUAUGUUUCAUUGUCUUGCAGCCAGAGCUCGUGCAGAGGGUUGAGAGAGAUCUUAUCAACAUAAUGUCCGGUGGAACAGUAGAGAAUAUCCUCUUAUUUGGCCACUUCCUAGAUACAUUACAUUGUUGCAAUAGAAAUUAUGCUCAUUUUUGGUUGAUUUAUAUGAUCGGCACAGGCUUUUAACUGUCAUGCUAAUUGUCUGCUUUUCUUCUUGUGCUUCUUUUUACAGUAUACACUUCUCGAUUACUUGAAAUCAUGGCCACUGAAUUUGAUACUUGCUAAGUGUCAAUUCAGUUUCUUUUACUUCAUUAUAUACUACCUCAGCAUCCAUGUCCUCAGGCUGGUCUUGGUUAGGAUCUAUUGUUUCAUCUUCUUGCUUUCUAGGCUUUGUCAAGCAUGUGUUGCCCAACCUGUAUUGGGUAAUCAUUUUCAGUUUGGCAUCGAUUUCCCCCCCCCGCCCCUCUCUCUCUCUCUCUCUCUCUCUCUCUCUCUCUCUUUGUUUUUUUAGACGCCAGGAUCCAUGUUUCGAGUUUUAUUUCUUGGUUAGGUGUUGAUAUUUGCAUUCAAUUUUCAUUAGCGUAGUGUACACCUUAUCAGAAUUCCUUGACCAUCUGGUGGACACAUGUCGGAACGGUGCCUGAGGAAGGUGCCAACCGGAGGAAAGCUGCUCCAACACCUGCGUCAAAGCCUGAUGCUCCAGCUGAAGCUGCUGGGGAACCCGAAAGAAGCGACUCUGAUGAAUCAAUGGAACCUGAAAACUAGAGAGUCACUAGUCACUACUCCAGUCUCAAGUUAUAGUGAGAUGCUACCUACGAGAAUUAUAUAUGAUCAGCUUCCAAGUGUAUGAGUGGAACCUGAUUGAAGCUUGUCACUCAAUCGAGUCUUCAGUUGACUUAAAUGGUUCAGAAAACACUUUGAAGGCUUAUUCUAUUGCAAAACACUGUAUUUGUGUAAAUCUACAUGCCCAGUGGUUGAUAAAUGCUUCUUUAGAUGUAGUAUUUUUAUGUUUUUAAGACCCAUGUAAAAACUCGCUGCUGUAAUGACUCCGGUCGCUAUCGUCUUUGUGAUACCUUGUCUAACUGUUUUUGAAGAGAUAACUACAGCGGAGUUCUUCUAAUAACCUGAAAUUGUGGAAUUGUGUUUACUACUGUGCUAGUUUUAUUUGUCUCUGGUUUUUUGAGUUUCUGCAUUGUUGAGUAACUUCAUCGUGGAGCAUACCACCAUAACAAUACGACGAUCCGAUGUGCUCUCUUAAAUCAACACCGAGGCUUGUUUGGUUCUUUGAGAACUCAUGCAAACUAGUUUAUAAAAUUGGAUGGAUUUAAGGUAUUUGUGUUUCUCCUACUUGUUACAUUGUGUAUACUUGUCUCCGAGAAUUAACCUACUUUAAAUCAUUACUCUUUUGUGUUCGGUUUGCGCAAAUUGAAGCCUCUUCUUAGGAGUUCAAAAUGUGUUGAGGUUUCCCCGAUCGUACUAAAUAUGGUAAUCCUGAGUGCCUUGCUGGUAUGAUGCAGCUGCAUUUUUUUCUUCUUUUGCUUGCUUUGCUUUUCUUAUAUCCCUUUGUAGUUGUUCCAAGGCCCAGGGCCUACUAAACAAAUUAUUCCUCUCAGAAAGGGAAAGAAUGGGUAAAUCAUUUGUACUUGUGUUUACAAAUAUCUCAUGCUUGUAUGAAGGUGUUGACAUGUUGGUGGAAACUCUGACCGCUGAACUAUGUGAUAGCUCAUUUCACACUUUUGUUUGGCUUUGUUUGUAGGAUGCACCCGCCGUCAUUCCAUCCUACUAUGACAAGAGAAUAGUCGGUUGCCCUGGUGGUGAAGGUGGUAAGUCGUGCAUUAUUGGUCAUCUACUCCCCUUUCCCGUCUUCCGCCUGGACCUUUAUCUGUUUCUGUUAUCAAAAUUGGCAACUUUAUUUUCUGGAUUCAUUAUAUACGUGUGAUUCAUUUGCAGAGGAUCACGAUGUUGUGUGGUUCUGGCUUGAAAAGGAUAAACCGUAUGAAUGCCCUGUUUGCUCACAGUAUUUUGUGGUGAUUUGCUAUCAGCUGAAGUCUUAGUAUCUUCUGUAAAAUAAAUUAUAUUUGAAAUUUGAUUGGCUUGACCAUGAUACCAACUUAAUAAUUAUUCCAUACAAGUGCAGCUGAAGGUUAUCAGUAAAGGCGGUCCGCCAGAUGAACACGGCGACGAUGAUGAUGAUGAUCAUCAUCGUUGAAUCUGGUUAGUGUUUCAAGUGUUUUUGUUUACAUGCCUAAGUGCACAUUUGCGUCCCGAGGAUUCUUUUUUUUCAUGCCCUUCAAAUAGUGGAUGACCACAUCAUGUAAGUUCUUUUGUUUUCUUCUGAAAUGACCGGCGGAUGUUAUGGUCUGCCCUGUUGAUUAGAAUUUGUCUUUUUGGCCGUAGAAUCACUGAACCUGAUCUUUUUCAACUUGGUGGUAGCUUUAAUUGUUCCAAGCAUGCUGGAAACAAACUCUGCAUCUGGAUUCCAAGGCUUCUUCUGUGCUUGCUGUGGUUUUUUCCAUUCGACAAUAUCUAUUUGCGAGCGCUAUAAAUCAAAUAUAGGUAGAAAUGCUGUGUUCGGAGCUGAAAUUGUGAGAAAAGUACUCGGGAUCUACAAACCAAUGUUACUGCCAGAGAAAGAAACAAGGGGCGUGGGGGCCAAGUUUUUGUACUACUCGCCCUCUCUUCGUAAUUGAGACUUGUUCCAGGACAUUUGAAGCAUUUUUGAACUCAUACUGCGGCUUGACUCAGAAGUUCCAGGUUUGUGCUUAAGAGUGCCAAGUUAGCCCCAUUACGGGUUUGUUCAAUCUAGAUUCCGGUCCCGCCGUGUGUUUGCACGCUGCGAAUUUGGUGUGCAGUAUGCUGUUUGGUGCUGGGGCUGCCAGCUAUUUAUAGCAGCCUGCAAAGAAAAUUUGCAGUGCAGAAGAAGAGCACUGCUGGGUACUUCGGCUUUCUGCUAAUGUGUGGUGCGGCGUCGAGCCGCACGACCAGGCCAAACAAAUUCUAUUUAUGUUUGUAACACACAAGUUACUGAUUUAAAUACUAUUUAAAUUCGCUUGUAUCACAAAUUGCUAUAUAGCGGCUUCAAAAGGAUAAAGCUAUAUUCUAUGUUCUUACCGAAGAAAUCUAAAAAGCUUUUAACAAAUUAAAUUUUAAGGGAUUAAUCUAAUACAUUUUACAAACAUGACAUGUUUUUUUUUUAAAAAAAAAAAUUCAAACAUAGAGAACCUUUAUGAGACAGCUUUGCUGCAUUAAGAUUUGCGAAAACUGGCCUGUUAUUGGGCUGGAUUAAGUUUAACCGGACAUGACAGCAGAAACUAUAUGAUGAACUACACUCAAUCGGUCAAAUAAUCUUGAGCUGGUUUGGGUUAGAGCUUAGAUCAAUCAGAGAAACCAAAUUUAAUUCUGGUCUAAUUUUAUCUAAUUUAAGACUCAUGCCGAUCAAUUGGACUGGAUUAGACCAUACAGCUUAAUUUGCGCGACGAGUAAGACUUAGUUUGGUAUUGAGGCCUAUCAAACGUUAUUAAACAAAAUGGAGUUGAGAAAAAAACAUAUAGGGAUAUGUUUCUUUAUUCUUCGAUGGGAUCGCAGAAAAUACAUUGUAACCGAUUCAUCGCUCAUCGUGAUAUGCGAAACACAUCGUGAUAUGCGAAACACAAUAUUACGUAUAAAAAUAAACAUGAUAUUUUUUCAAUAUACUUUCUCACUGCACGUAACGCUAUCUCCACGCAAUCCCAAACGAAGCCUAAGUGUACAAGAAAAAGGAGGUCUAUUGAGAUGCCACAGUUUGUUGAAAGGUAUAAGCAGGAAUUGAACACCUACCUGAUCUUUGAGGCAGCAAUCCAGAUAACAAUUAAUUGCUCCCCCAUUCAUUCGACCACACAAAAAAAAAAAAAAGGAAAAGAAAAGAAGCUUUGAUCAAUGGACCCUUUCAUUGAAGGCACAUCUUCAAAAGCAGUAAAAUCCACUGACAUUGACAACGUUCCACAAUAUUAGAGGUAAAACACCAUAAGAGAGAAAAAAAACCUCCCUGAGCCCUUAAUCAUAGAAUUAACAGGGGAUCUGGGAGGUGAACCAGCGCAUAACAUGGAGAGGGGCUUUGACGAGUUCGAUGGCGAGCUCCACCGCCACCGUCACGCACAAGCAGCACGGGCAUAUGCACGACAGCAGCAACCUGCAGUUAAUUACUCAAUUAGCUAUUUAUACGCCAUUACGUUCUCUUUGGAUUUACGCAUUCCGAAUUGCAUUGAACAUGAUAAGAUAUUAUAUAAAAUCCGACUGAUCGGAUUUGAUAAACGCAUCCUCUUACAACCCCUCCGCUUCUCAAAUCACUAAAUUCUUUUAAUCUCGAUCGAAUCGUCGAUCUUACCCGACGAUCCAGAUGAGGAUGCCGACGACGGAGACGAUGAGGGAGAGGAAGGCGAAGGGCAGGCCGAGAAGCCACCCCAGCGGCCGACAUUCGCAAUCGCAUUCGCAGCACAUCUUCUUCUUCUUCUUCUUCUUCUUCUAUUUUCCUUCUUCAAAUUCUACUCUGCUCUGUUCCUGCAGCCACCACCACCACCACCACCACAACUUCGGUCCCCCUACAAAAACUUUUUUUGGGGUAAUCUGUUGUACUGCAAUUAUUAUUGUUUGCUUGAAUACUAAGAAUGGAUAUAUUGAGAGAGAGGGGAAGCGAAACGGGAAAGGGAGGGGCACUAGCGAGGGAGUUGGUGGCGUCGAUAUCGAUGUAACUAAUUUUGAUAUUAUGUGGGACACGUGGCGGACGAUGUAUGGGCUUCAAUCUUCUCGCUUGUGUUGGGCCCCAAUGAUAAUUUCUACCACUCAAGACACAGCGGACGGCGAGAUUUGUCCCGCUGCAUACAUGUUCAUCUGGAUCCAAAAACUUUGUUUAAUUGGGGGAAAAUAAUAAUAAUAAUAAUAAUAAUAUAAGUGACGGAUAUCUUGUUGAGUAUCUUGCCUCGCUUUGACUUUGGAAUUUGGAUUAGCUUUUUCUCAAGUUUACGAUGUGUCUUCUUCCUACUAUUUUUUUCAAUUUUUAAUAAUUUAAUAAAAAUAAAAAAUAUGAUGAUUUUUAGCUAAACGCAUUAAAUAAUAUAAUUGAUAAUAUUAAAUUUAUUUGGUAAUGAGAUUUUUUUCAAAUUACUAAUCUUAUUUCUAUGAAAGAGUAUGUGUAUCCGUAUAUAAAUGGAUUGAAAUAAUUAUAAUAUGUCUAAUUUUUUUCUUUCUCUUCAUCCAUUGGCUAAUUAGUAUUAUUUUUCUUUAUACUCCAACCUCGCAAGUUUUUCUAAACUUAUCUUUCUCUUUUUAAACUGCAAUUAUUUUUCUCUCUUUAAACUAAGCUCUCUUUUCCUCAUUUUCCCUAAAAUCUCAACUCUCUCACUCCUUCUAAUUUUCACUCUAUUUUUCUUUCUAUUUCUUUAAUUAUGCUCUCUCUCUAACCUAUAUUCUCUUCUUUUUUUUUUUCUAAAAAUAUGUUGAAUUUUUUGAUAGCAUUAUUUAAAAGAGAUAAUUGCCUAAAUAUUCCUCAUACGUUUGAAAAUAUCCAAUUUACCCCCACUUCUUUUUUUUUCUUUCUAAAGUACUCCUCAUGUUCCAACGUUAUUGUAAAAUAUCCCCGCAGUUAUCUCCUGUUAAGUUAACUUGGGUUAAAUAUGAAUUAAAUAUCUACAACAGUUAAAGAAAAUUAAAAUACCAAUUUUGCCCUUAACUUAAGGACAAAUAAGAAAUAUUGGUGAUGAUAGAGGGAUAUAUUGAAAAAGAUCAAAAGUCAAAAUACUUUUUGUGCCCCUCACUUUAAGGGCAAAUAAGAAAGUCAGUAAUGGUGGAAGGGUAUAUAUUUAAAAAGGUAAAAUAGUAAUUUUAUAAAGAUAACAUAGUUAAUUAACAGAUUUUAACUCUAGGGGUAUAUUAGAAAUAGGUUGGAAUGUAGAAAGGGCAUUUUAAAUAUUAGCCUUCUAAGAGGGGUAAAUCGGAAAGUCGAAAAUUUUUCAGGAAUAUAUAAGUAAUUGCCCCUAUUUAAAAUUGAUUAACGAAAUAAGUACAUUAAUUGUAUAUUUUUCGUAAUCUUAAAUAAUAUGACUAAAUAAUAUGAUCAUACGAACUAAAUACCGAAAUGCCAUAUUUUUAGUAUCAGGAUGGAUAGAAAUAAAUUUUUGGGCAUAAUUUUAUUCCUAGUAAUCUUCCAUAAUAAGAACCAAAUGCCGAAACGCACCCUAAGGUGAUAUGUUUUGAUACAUAAAUUUUUUGAACAAAACACUAACAACUUGACGGUUGGAGAUUUGGGCCUUCACCUGUGCUUAAAUUUGAAGCAUGAUCUGCAAUUUAACUCCUCGCCUUGUGUGCGUGCGCGCGCGCGCGCGCGCAUACGAUUCAUGUAGCCUACAAACUCAAGGCGACUAGAGAUGUCUAUGGUUACGGACACCUGAAAUAUAUACCUGAGAUACAGUAGUAUAUUGCGCGCAACAAAUUCUACGCGCUCAAAGUUUUUUUUUUUUUUUUUUUUUUUUUGAGAGAUAGAUAACACGCUACCCGCUUUAUUUAUUUUAUUUAAAAAUAAACUUAAACGGAAAUGUGAAUAAACUAGUAUUCGAACUUGGGACCUCGGGUACCAACUACCAAGCCCUUUGCAACUUAUUCUACGUUCUCAAAGUUGCAAGAAAUCUGCUCCUACCAUACGGGAUUUUGCGUAGCGCAAAGAUUUCUUACUCAUUAAUAUCUGACAACUCUAUAAAAAGGUGAAAAGUUUUAACAGCCUCUGCGAAAAAAUCGACAUCAAAUUAAUCAUUCACCUUUAACACUUGAACCAUUUUAAAAGCACAAUUAGACCUAAGAACAUGGAAGCACUAGCUAAUAUUUCGUCUAAACACUGGAUUUCAUGCCCACCAUCUGCUCCUUGAAAAGCCCAAGCCCAAGCCCAAGUCCCAGCUCCCUGAUAAAGUUUUUGUUGUUUCAUAGUUUUGAUUAAAAGUCAUUUUUACUGUAUAAAUAACUGUCACAAAAAAGACUUUUUCUUCCUCCCGAGCUAUACGAGCUUAAGCCUGGAUGACCGUUACUAACAGAACCAUGUCAAACAUGUCAUUCCAAUAUAGGAAAAACACAACCCAAAUACAUAUAUUUACAUAAUUUAGAUCCGCAAAUGAGAUGGACACAACCCUACAGCAGAUAAGUUAAUUUAACAAUACGCAAUUACGAAAUGCCCAUAAACUAGUUAACGAAAGAGUACUUAUUAAAGUUAACACAACACAGUAAAACAAGCUCAAUAACAGCUGACUUUCUCAAUUGGGCAGAACCAUGUAAAACGACUCCUCAACACGCCGAUCAUCCCGCAGUAUAUACGGUAUAUCAUCUGCAAUUAGAAGUGUAAAGACACUGUCAGUUUUUAAAGAAUUAGAUAGUUCACAUAUUCGGAGGGAAAACGCACAAUGUAUCGCGAUCCUUUACCUUGUCAAUUAAAUUCUGAAGUUAAAACUAGUGUAAAAUGACAAAUGUGUUGUUUACUUUCAUACGCAAUCAUUUUAGCUAAUCCAAUUAGACGCGAAAUCAAUCAACAGCGACUCUACCUGAGUUACUUGCAGAUAAGUUCUACGUUAUUGCUCGCAUGCGGUCCAUUUUCCAGGUGAAUAUCACAGCCAGGAUCUGCACAAAAAGCUUUCUUUCAAGCUUGAAAAGUGAAUGCUUGUAUAUAAAUCGUCGAUACAAUUUAAGACAACGAAAUCGUCAGAAAUCACUGAAAAAAACUGGCGUUAAUUAUAGAACAUCUCAAUUCCUGGUCAAGAACAAAUGUAACUGCAGUUUAUAUACGAAUACCGCGAGAGGAGGUUCCUGGAUCACUGCUUGAGCCGAUUUGAUGUAUCCCACCAACAACAGAGGAAGAAGGCAAAUUCUGCACAUCUGCCACCAUUUCAUGCCAUUUUAGCGAAUUCGAAAAACCCGAAAAAAAGGGAUUCUCUUGGCCAAACAAUUAGUACCAUACCUGCUUUGUUUUCCUCUUCCUCAUCCCCAAUAUAAAUCUGAAAAGAAUUGAAUAAAAGGUUAGUGAGUAAACUUCACACAAGAAUAGGUUUAAUUUCAAACUAGUUCCUGAACUAUCACAUAGAUUUUACUCUUUUUUUUCUCCUAAUUCAGAAAAAAAAAAUCCUCACUUCUAAUUAUGAAGAAUGGUACCUAGACCGAUAAAUUUACUUGAGAUCUCGACUAUCAACUAUCAACUACGGGAGAUAAUAAAAAAAUGUUCUCAAAUUUUCUGAAAAAAAGUCACAUCAUAUUCAUUGUCAAUCUUUCUUUUCUUAAAAUAGAAACUUUAAUAUAAAAUAAACUCAGAUGGGACUUCAGAGUUCAGAACCAAAUUAAAACCCUUUAAACGAACUAAAAAAUCAGGUCUAAUUUUUCAAAUUAAAACAAAAAAUGUUGCACCUAAAACUAAUAAGAGAAGCGAUCACUCUAGAUACAUGAGCUUUUAAAAAAUAAUAUUCAUCAUUCUAAAAACUUAAAUAUAUAUUUUAUGUUUAACAAAAAAAAAAAAAUAUUUCAACAAAAAUUUAGUGCUCAUACCACUUCAUGCGCCUCUUCCUCAUUGACGUUUCCCUCCAAAACCAUCAAAUCCAAGCUCGACGAAUCCUCCGCCUCCGCCGCCGCCGCUGCGGAGCCGAGAGAGUCGAGCGCGUCGCCGAACUCGUCCUCGAUCUCGGCCCAGCGCGUCUCGAACACCUCGGAGAGCUCCUCGGCCAUGGCGUAGGCGUCGUCGCCCCUGAAGUUGUAGGCCAUGGCGUUGCGGAAGGUGAGGCGCACGUCCGCGGCGAACGCCCCGGGGCUCCGGUACCGCCCCUUCUCAAGGCGCGCGCGCACGGUGCCGAGGUCCAUGGGGCUCCGGAUCACCGCGUAGUAGUCGCGGAGGCCGAGGCCCCGCACGUCGACGGGCGCGUCGAAGAGCCACGCGUGCCGGUGCCGCAGCAGCCGCCGCAGCAGGGAGGAGCACUUCUCGAAGGCGCGGUCGCGGAGGGGCUUCUUCUUCUUCUUCUUCGUCGUCGCCGUCGUCCUCGUCUUCCUCUCGUUGGGGGCUCCGCGGAGGAGGAGGAGCGGCGUCGUCGGCGUCGUCGGGGGCGUCGCAUUCGCCAUGGAUGCGACCUCGGAGCUCUACGGCCGUUGGAUUGGGGACGGGGGAGAAAUGGGGGUUUAGGGCAUGCAUUUAUAGACGAAGAGAGUGGGGUACGGGUGUGGUUUUCAGAAAAACUGUUGAAUGCACCUGGUGUAUACACCGAGGUUCCAAAACUUUUUAUUUUAGAGGUCUUAAAAAAUUGAAAUUAUCUAUAGAUUCUAGGAUUCUAUAUAAAUAAAAAGUAAAAAUGUACAUAACUUAUUUAAAUUAUGAAUUAUUUUAAAUUGGUUAUCCAAUCUUUGAAAAUAUCGAUUUUACUAUCAAAUCUUUCAAUUUAUUUAUUUGAGUUUAUCAGCACCACUUUGAUUUCAAAUUUUAAGAUAAUUUCUUACUUUAAUAAAUUUAAGAUUUUGAGAACUUGUAAAAUGAAAUGAUAUAUUAUUCAAAGUUCAAAGUUCAAAAUCAAAGUGCUUUUGACCGAUUCAAACUUAAAAUUUUGAACGAUUGGACAGUUGAGUCAAGAUAGUCCAUAGUGGAGAUGACUUAUGUGCAUUUUCACUAAAAAAAUAUACAAUUUGUUAUAUUAGGAAAAGUUGUCAAAAGUUUUAAUUUCUAAUUUUAGAAGUUUUGGAUGGUGUAUAUUACAUUUAACGUUUUAAAUAUUAAGAUAUCUGCGAUUUGAGUACCGCCGGUGUGCAUACCGAAAUGCAUGCAAUAAUCUCGUGAUACGGACACGUUGCAGGAAACUGCUGACCAUACCGAUAUUAAAUUAUUGUCGGCAACUGAUAAAAUCCGAGGCCUCAAAAUAGCAAGUAAUUUAAAAGUUUUUAUUUGCAGCCGCCAUAAAUCUAUUUUAGUGGCCGCAGAAUAGGAAUCUAUUUUACUUUUUUUUUUUAUAGGACAUUCAAAGAAUUUAUAUGUGAAAAAUAAAUAAAUCAGAAUACCUAUUCUUUAUGAGUCAAAUAUACUUUCUAUUUAUUAAUUUGUAGACAAUUUGAUGUCUAAAAAGAAUCAUAUGUAUCUAAUUGAAUUUUUAUAUCAAAAUAUUACUUAUCAAAUACUAAAUUAUCUAUGGUGCAGGACAUGUACUAAUACACCGGGUGCCCGUAAUACUCCAAUCGUAGGUGCGUGUGGCGCGAAAUUGUUUUCGAGAACUGUUUACGUUGCAUGUUUCUUUUUUCUUUUUCUUUUUUUUUGGGGUUUUGUAACUAUUUAUGGAAACAGUUAAUUGGAGUCACCAGUUCCAAAAGAACACUUAAUUUAUCUUUUAUUAAUAGACAUUUCUUUUUUUCUUUUUUUUCUUUUUGUAGUUAACAACUAAUGCUAUACUGUAUGCCAUUUUGAAUUGUAUAUAGAUUUUGAAAAAUAAAAUUUUAAUAUUCAACAACCAAUAGGCAGUUAAGUUAUUAGAUUUGAUAAAAGUUUAUGAUUUUAACUAACUAGAAUAACUCAAAUAGAAAACAAAAGUUGAAUAAGAAGGAGCCACACAAGUAAAAUUAAGAAGGCUAUUUCAGAAUAGCGUAUAAUUAAAGGUUUUGGAUACGUUUUUACUCUUUUUUUUUUAUAGAAAUUCUAAUUGUAUACGCUUAAAAGAGUGUAGGAUGUACACUAUUAAUUUAUGGGUGAAGAUUCUUCGCUAAUCACAUCAUAGUGGUAAAUCUCUCACUUUCGAAUGAAUAGGAUAUAUAUCAUACAUUGAGGUGUAUGUAUAGCAUUGCUCGGUUGCUUUUUUUUUAGUGUCCUUUGUAAGUUAGCAAUUUAGCACUCAUAGGUGUAUUCUUCUUCUUUUUUUUUUAAUAUUUAUAGCAUGAAAUUGAGCAAUACCAGAAAACGGAGGUUACUGCUUAAGUAAGCGCCCUUUUUUCACAUUUAUAGUAUGAACUGAACUCAGCCCUGAAUAGAAGGUCUUUGUCGGUCUGGCAAUUGCUAGUGAAAAUCUCGUACAAUAUUGACACGUCAUGUCUUUUUCUAUAUAUUGUGGCAUUUGUUUUUUUGAGAUACAAUGCCUCCCUUCAAAUAUAUUAAAAAGGUUACAGAAAUAUUUUACUGUGCACUCACAAUAAGAAUUUAAGUGUCUAUCAAUACGAACUGUGUUCAUCAUGCCAACAAGAUAUCAACAUAUAUAAUAUAGCAUCAUUCGGAUAAUACAAUUCAAAAUCUUCUAUUCCUCAAAUUACUAAGUUUAGUAAUAAAAUUCAAAAGAUCUUAUAAAAAUACACACUAAAUAAUUAGAAUAUCAUUUGUGCUCAGCAUGCAUUGACGCGGUCCAGCACGUAUGUAUUGAUAAAAUUUUUGACAUGACUAUGUGCUACGGUGCUUAAAUCCUUAACUCACGGAACCGAAAAGCACUGGUCCACAUGCUUUAGCAUUUUCCAUGGUCCCUACAAGAGCUUGGUGGCGGAUUUAGAGUUGCCACUUGGACCCGGAUUGCCCGAAUUCCUAUACCGGCCUGGACCCGAGUCCGACCGGUCGGGUAUGGAUCCCUUAUAAGCCUAAUCCACCUUAGAUGCCGGUCCGGAUCCGAAUCCAAAUCAGAAUCCGAAUCGAGAUCUGGAUUUAGUAAAUGCAUCAGAGGCAUACCCGAUCCUGACCCGAAAAUUUAGCUUGUGUGGAAGGUGGAAACAAACAUUACUGGCGCUCGCAACGUUUCUCCCAAGGUGAAUUACUUUAUCUAAUAAAUCCCACGUUUACAUUUUUAACUAUGUUUACCAUCGUUAUAUAUAUAUAUAUAUGUGUGUGUGUGUGUGUGUGUGUGUGUGUGUGUGUGUACUCUGGCAUGGUGAAUAAAGUUGUGAAUGGUAGAGUCAUAUAUAUGUUUUGAUUAAAUGCCAAAAAUUAUACCACUCCUCAAUGCUUGUUACCACAAAUUUUUAAUUUUUAUAUGUUGAGUGAGUCGUCGCGGGUAAUACAUGGAGUUAUUGGUGCAAAUUGUGCUACACGGAGUGAUGAACAUUGGGUGUUUGAUGAAAUGCCUCAGAUAAGUGAAAUGAAUUAAAACGAAGGUUUUUGACAUGGAAAUAACUCGGUGUUAGAAUGAGUGAUGGUAUUUAAUUGUUUUGAGUGGCUUACCCCAAUUUCAAAAAAAUAAUAAUAAUCUGAGUGGUUUGGAAUAAAUUCAAAUUCAAUGUGGUUCAGUAGAUAUGAUCAGAAUAAAACUGAUCAGAAUAUCUAUUUCAGUCCAUGGCUAUCCAGUUAGCUAUUCUGAUCCGAUUUGUCUCGAUUUUCUCGCAAGAACGCGUUUCUGAAUUGGCAUUGCAGAUACAACGAUGACUGACGGAAGCGGAAUCCCUCAGCCGGUUCGCAGGUUGGCCUCUGCUGCAGCGUUCCUUGUUGGGGGCAUCGUCACUCUCUCGCUCGCUUCGUCGAUAACCAUCCGAUCUUUGCAGUCAUUUGCAGAAGCAAAGAGGGUGAGACGCGCGAUCCCCUCGACUUCAAUUUGAUAAUCCGAGUUCAUGUGAAUAGAUUAUGUAAACACCUCGAGUUUUAUAUGCCUUGCCUCUAUGUCAUGUACAGUUCUCGUUAUUUUUUAAAACUGCAGAAGAAAUCGGCGCUACCGUGUAAGGUUUGUCAGGGGAAGGGCUUCUAUCCAUGCAAACUCUGCAAAGGAAAUUCUACGAUCGAAUGGUCUCCGCUCUACGAUCCUAUCGUCAUCAGCAAAUGCCUCUGCCCGACUUGCGAGGGGAACAGGUGACGAAUCUUUAGUUUAAUGUUUGUCGAACACAAAAUUACGGCAUUUUUUUUCGAAUUCUGGUACUACUCUAUUUGGCGGCGCGUGCUGUAACAAUUGCUUUUGCUUCUUUCCAGAGUGCAGCGCUGUCUAAACUGUCUCGGCAAGGGUUAUGCGUAAUCAUAUGCUUCUUCGGGUCUUUGUCACACUUUGAGCUCAGUAAGGGUUUGUUUAUGCGAUUACGGCGCAUCUCGUAAUAUGAUGCUUGUUGUAGAAAGCGAGUUACUAUAAGUUUCUUUACAAUCUACAAUUGUGUAAUGCUCGGCAAUAAUUGCAUUUCAAGUUAUCAAGUAAUCACUUAGCUUAGCUUCUAUUUCAUUGAUCGGAUGACGGAUUGUUUGCAAUCUAUGGUUGUUUGCUCUUCACUCUGCUGGUGCUUUUUGUGCCCUGCGAUUAGGGGUGAAAACGGUUCGAAUUCUCGACAAAACUCUAUCUGCAACUAUAUUUUCUUUUUUGGAUGCAAAUUCAGAUGCGGAUAUGUGUAGAAUGCUAAAUUUUUAUUAUCAUAUCCGUUUAAAAUGAAUUCGGAUUCAGAUAUGAGUCGGAUUUGUAUUCGGAUAUUUUUCAAAUAAUUAUAUAUUCUAAUAGGCAUAUAUAGAUGCAUAUAAAUAUGAAGUAAAAUAAGCACAAAUAAAAUACAUAAUACAAUUAAAGGUUCACAUUCGUGUUUAAAUUUUGUAUACCUAUAUUUUAUUCAAUAAAUUUUAAUAUUUUAAUACAUACAAAUAUAAUUUUAAAUAAAUUUUAUAGUAAAAUAAAUGAAGAACACAACAACUUUAUUCCCUUAUAAUAUAUAUUAACAUAACAUUCCUCUUAUCUCUUAGAGGUGAAAAUAAUCUAAUACAAUUCAGAUUUUGUAAGAAUCAUAUUCUAUUCAUAUAUUUUUUAUUUUUUUUUCGAAUACAAACACGGAUAUGAAUAUGUGUCGAAUGCCAAAUUUAGACAACCAUAUUCGCAUCCAAUUAAAACUGGCUUCAAAUUCAAUCUAAGUUUAUCCUAACCACUUGCAUUGCAUUCUACAAAAACAUAAAAAAAAAAAUAAAAAGAAAACAAAAUUAUAUGGGGAUUAUAGAAUCUCGAUGCGACCGUUUUUAGUAAUUUUAGCAUCCCGAGACCUGAAAAAAGGGUAGACCGGGUCCACCUAACAAAUUUCUCCUUGUUUAUGGGUUUGAGAUGCACUUUAAUGAGCCCGGUCCAUGAAUAGCCUUGAAUGACCAUCUCCGAGCCCGUUACAAGCCCAUAAUGCACUGGGCUUACGUAGAAAAUUAAAAAAUGAUACAGCAUUUUUCGCUUAUUUUUAAACAAUGCUAGUUAAACUUUUAAGAGGUUAUACUCAGAAGAAGAUACCUAUCAACCAUACUACUGAUCUGAUAUGCGGUUAUAUAAUAUUUUUCUGAAAAACUGAAGUUAAUUAACUUAUAUUUAAUAUCUUAAGCAAUACACAGAAUUUCCUAGAGUAGCCGCAUCAUAUGGGAACAUUUAUAUUCGAAGUCUCUCAUGAUGCUAUCCAUUUGGUAUCAAUCUUGUUACGUGUUUGUGACCAUCGCUGCUUAGAGUAGUUGAUAUGCUUCUUUUAUAUAUUUUAUUAUUAUUAUUAUUAAGUAAAAAUAUAUAAAAUUUAUCUCAACUACCACUUAUCUUGUUUUAAUUAUACGGCUUAAAAUUUUUUGAUAUAGUACCUAAUUAUUUAAUUUAUUUGAUACUUUAAUUUUAAAAUUUGAACGAGUCAUUUACUUUACAGGUUUAAUUAAUAUAUUUUAUGUAAUUCACGUAACUAUAAAUUUAUUAAAUUAAAAUAAAUUGAAAGGCUGGGUGUUAAAAUUAAAAUUUGAAACUGAUGGAUGGUUGGAUUAAAAUAAUUAAUAAUUCAGAUAGUUUUAUACAAUUUUUAACAUUUUGUUUUAUUUUUAUAUUUAAUGGGCAAUCUGUGAGCUGUGGCCAAUGGACAAGCUGCAAUUUUCUUCUCAUAUCUUCCUUGUCUUGUCUUGUACAAAUAUCUAUUUCUUAUCAUAUCUUUGUUUGUACUAACCAAAAAUAUCAAAUCAAAGAGAUAGAUACAUAAUGUCACUUAUUAGUGUCCUCCUACUAAAUUGGUGUGCAAUUUGAGUGCGGCUGGUAUAAUUCUGGAAGUACGGAGCGCUUCGUACUUUCAAGUCAUUUUUGAUGUUGGGAGUUUCGAAUCGACGAUCAGCUUCAUUAGAUUUGAUCUAGAAUACUUUAAGUAUAUAGAAAAUAAAUUUUGCGAUUUUUUGAUAUCAUUUGCCUAGUGAUCGAAAUGGCUCAAAAUCAACGGUUGAAAAUAAAAAUCUUACAGAAUAUGAUGAUAUUAUAUUAAAAUUUUAGAUCAAAAAUAUUGAUAUUGUUUUAUAUAGUAUAAAGAAUUUUCUAUUAAAAUUUUACGUGAUUUGGAUAUUUCUAUACCGUUAAACUUGCAAACGGCUCACCACGGCCAUUAAAAUUAUUGAUUUUGAGCCCCAUCGAUCACUAAGCAAAUGAUAUCGAAAAAUCAUAAAAUUUAUUUUCUAAAUACUUCAAAUACUCUAGAUCAAGUUUAACGGAGCCGAUCGUCGAUUCGAAAAUCCCAACAUCAAAAACAAUUUGAAAGCAUGAAAGGCUCCGUACUUCCAGAAGCAUACAAGCUCACUCGUGCAAUUUUGUGGGCCAUAUAAUAGAAUCACAUUACCACACUCUUCUUCAAAUGUACACCAUGGACCACUUCCUCAGUUGCUUCACCAGAUUCAGAUUUUUCAGUACAAAUUUAUUUUUUAAAAAUCUAUUCUCAUAAUAGAAUUUCCAUCUUGUAAAAAAUAUUUUUAUUUGGUUCAUGUUUUUGAAUAUCUAAAAAUAUAUUAUCUCUGUAUUAAUUUGGUUCAACGCAGAAAUUAACCAACUAUAUUAAUAAAAUUACCAUAAUAAAGACUAAUAUUAUAUAUCAUUUUACACCAAAUUAAUUGUAUAAAAAAUAUAACUAUUUAACAAUAUGAAUAAAUACUUCUAAAUUUAGUGGGUUCAUAAGUUUAUUUGUCUUUCGUACACAAUUUAACAGUUUGGGAUAGAUUUAAAAUUCGCAAAAGGGUAUUUUAUUUUUUCAAAUUCAAAUUUUCUUUUAAAAAAAAAUCAAUAGGCCUAAUAAUUUGAUGAAAAAUGCAUGAAGAGCUCUCUACUGUAAUCAAUUCUGAAAUAGCCCCAUAAUCUUUUUUUUUAAAAAAUUAUGAUUCAUGUUUGAAUCUAAGUGAUUUUGGAAAAUAAAUUGGGUAAUUUACUAAAUUGAUUGAUAAUUUCAUGAAAUUUUCAUAGUUUAAACUAUUUUAUAGCAUAUAAAAGUGAAUUAAUUAACCGCUAAUAGCUAACGAGCCAGAAAAUUUAAUAAAAUUUUUAAUUUAACUAACUAUACAAAUUCAAAUAAAAUACUAAAAUCUAAAGAAGUAUCAAUUAUAAAUAAAAAAUUGAAAAAAAAAAAAAAAUCCAAACUAAUAUUAAUUAUUAAUUUAUUAUCAUGUAGGAAUCCUAUCCAAAGUGAUUCAGAUAAUAAAUGUUUCAUAUCUUGAGGAUACAUAGGAGAAUGUCUUUUUCUGCAGCACCCAUUUAAUAUACGUUACAUUAGAGGCUAAUUAUUUUUAAAAAUAAAUGUUUUACUAGUUUAAUAAAUUAAUAUAUUUUUUUAGUGAAUUAUCACGUAAUGUUAGAAAUUAGGAAAAAUAUUUGCCAGAUUAUAUAAUUAAAAUUGAAUUGAGACGAAACCAUAUAAAAAUAUACUUUCUCACAACAAAUAACACAUUUUGUGUAUUAUUGUUCAUAAAGCCAAAUCAAAUGUUUUUUAAUUAUAAUUUUUCCCUGCAAAUAAUGCAUUUUGCACGUAAUCCCAAAUAAAAUCUUACCAUCUAAUCUGAUCUUCAAAAAAUAAAGCAGAAAAGACUACAUACAUUUUUAAUUUUCUCAAUAAAUUUUCUUUGAUUAGUUGAAAAAUAUAGUAAUAGCACAUUCUAAAAUAGUUUAAAAAUUUAAAAUUCUUUUUUGAAAAAAUUUUAAAAUUUAAUAGUCAAAUUUCAUUAUAUGUGUUGUAAAUCACAACUAUCAUUUCGUGAUUGGUGCCUUUCUACCGAUAAAAUGUUAUAAAUGCAUGUUUGUAAACAUUAUAUAAUUUAUUUUUAAACCUUUAGUUUUUUUUUGGGAUUGUAAGUAAGAUGUGUUUUAUGUCUUAAAAAAAAAUAUAAGGAAUAAAAAUAUUUUCAUUAUUUUUGGCAAAUAAAAAAAAAUCACCUAGUUUAUGUUGAAUAUUAAUAUACAUUCUUUCUCAUCAUUUCACAUUGUGUAUGUUUAGAAGAACAAUUCUUCAAAAGCAUAAAUAUUUAGAGAGUAAUCAAAUUUUUUUUUUUUAAUUAUGGUAUUAGAAUACAAAGUUUUAAUUUUUUUUUUUCAACUGCUUUUGGCCCAAUCCUCGAAACCGAACGCUCAUUUAUCACCAUGACUCAUUAAUGAUAGAAAAUAUAUAUAUAGAAUUUAUUUGAACUAUGAAUAAUUUUGAAUCGAUGAUUUAACUUUUUAAAAUUUUAAUUUUAUUUUCCAAUUUUUCAAUUUGUUUGACUUAAAUCAGUUAACAGUAUUCUAACUUUAAAAUUUUAAUACGCCCCUCAUCUUUAUAGCUUUAGCUAGUAUACCUCACAUUAUUCUCGCAGCUACAAAUUCAUCAAAGAAAGAAAUUAAUUCAAAUUUUAUUGUUAGCCGGCUGAAAUUAAACAAAUUGAAAAAUUGGAUAGUAAAAUUAUAUUUUUUUAAAAAUCAGAUAGUAAAUCCAAAAUGAUCCAUAACUAUAAUAAUUUUUAUAUAAAUUUACUCUAAUUAUUAUAUAAUUAAACUAAACUAUAGAAGUGUUGGAUAUAUUUAUUUAGAGUCCGGCUACUAUACUCUUAUGAGUACGAUCGCCCUCGUACUCAUAAGUUGUUUUCGAUGAUAGAGCUUUCGAAUCGACGAUCCACACCGUCAAACGUUAUCUAGAGCAUUUAAAACGUCUAGGAAUCAAAUUUUAUAAUUUUUCGACAUCAUUUACCUUACGAUUAAAAAGUCAUAAAAUUGAUAAUUUUUAACAGCCGGUAUAAGAUAUUUGCUAGUUUAACGGUAUAAAAAAAUUGAAAUCAGUUGAAUUUUUAAUAGAAUAUUCUAUGCACUAUGUAGAUAAAAAUCAAUAACUCUGAUCUUAAAUUGAAGGAUCCGAUCAUCCAUGUUUAAGACGUCGUUCGAUUUUGACCGUUCAUUUUAUACCCACUUGAUGAACUUUCUUAUGAUUUUGAAAAAUUACAAAAUUUAUUUUUUAAAAGUCUCAAAUACUCUAGAUUAUAUUUAACGGAGUGGAUCGUCGAUUCGGAAAUUCUAUCAUUGAAAAUAACUUACGAAUAAGAAGUGCUCUGGACUACUAAGAGUAUCGUGGCACUAGCCUAUUUAUUUAUACAUAUAAAAAGUAUUAAUUAAUUAAUAAGUAGGCUCCAAAUGGAGUGCUUUAAUUGACAAAACCAAAGUCUCCUCCUUCGCCACGCCUCACCGCAGUGCCAAAAAAUUAUCCUCACAAAGCGACAAAAACACACGCCACUUCACCACCCUCCUUCCGAAGUAGCCCACAUCCCAAUCCAUAAUUACAGAUAUGCCAUUGCCCGGGUGCCCCGAAAAACGGGGAAAAAAUAUCUUUUUCUUUAAUUUUACAUUUUGUAGAUAAAAAAAAUUAAAAGUAAUUUUGUAGAAUUAUCCUUUAAAAUUUUCCCGUAAAAUCAAACACUCCACGAUCAUUUAACCCCAAAUAAAUAAAAUUUUGUUAAUUUUUAUUUAUUGUUAUAAUUGUUUAUAAUUAUAUAUAUAUAUAUAUAUAUAUAUAUAUAUANUAUAUAUAUAUAUAUAUAUAUAUAUAUAUAUAUAUAUAUAUAUAUAUAUAUAUAUAUAUAUUUGUUUUUUGGGAUUUGUUCUUGAUAAAGCAACUGGGUUACUAUUACUAACCCUCUGCUUUCCAGAUAACCCAGCUUUCAAGCGAGAAUUACAGAUAUGCCAUUACCCACUAAUUCGGGAGAGAACCUUGAUCAUCACUUAACGCCGAAUAAAUGUUUUGGUAAUUUAAAUAAUUCGUAACAGUUUUACUUGUACUGAUAUACUAAAAUUUUAUUAGUUUUUAUUAAUUAGUAUAAUUAGUUUUUUUUAUUUAUAAAUUAUAUAUUGGUUCAAUAUCUGUAUUAUUUUUGAGAAUACUGUAUAUUUUAUAUUUGAAUUGAUAAUUUUGCUACUAAUUUAGCAAGCUAUUUGAAUUGAAAGGUUGUGAAGAAUUUAUAUAUUCUUAUUAAUAAACUAAUGAUGAUUUCUAUUAAGUAUGAAAAUAAAAAUAUCUUUUUAUCCAUGAUAAUUUACUAUUCCUACUACCUAGGAAUCUAUAAUUAUUUCAGUAAUUCACCGACAUCUUUUAUAAAUAUCCAACUUAAGUUGAAUGAUAAUAAUUUAAAUAUUUUAAUAAAAAAUAUGAAAAAUUAUCAGAAUAUUCUAAACUUUGAAUCAAAAGGCUCUAAAAGUUAUAGUGUAAUAUUGUUGGCGUGGCUUUUUAACUUAGCAUGAUAUUACCGGCCAUUACUAGCACAACUAAGUAACAAAUGACUUACAGUUAAUAAUCCAAUUUUAAAUUUAAAAUGUAUUUGCUUUACAUUUCUAACUAAAUUUAUUUCUAAAAACAAACAAAGCAAGUAGCUGAUAGUAUGUUAUCAUUCUAGCUAAGGUCGUUUUAUGUGAGUGCAUAAAACUUUUCAAAUCAAACCUCAUUGCUUCGUGUGAUAGCAUCACCGGUCAAAAAAAUCCACAAAAUUUGUUUUACCGAAGAAUCGUGGUGAAAUAAGCUCUUACGUUAAUCAAACUCUUUUUAUUAAGAACAAUUAAAGUUAAUUUCAUUUUUAAGUAAGCUCCUAAAUCAUUUGGCGAUACCUCUUUUUUUGAACUAAAAAUUUUAAGAUUGCAAAUAAAUAAUCUAGCACGGAUAGGAAUCUGAAUCACAUGAUUAUCAUUUGGCCCACUUGCAGAGUUACACCUACAUUCUAAGAUAUAAUAAUAAAUUAUACGAACAUGCUAACUCUCCAUUUGUUUUAAAUGACAAUAUAUAUUUUUAGAUUAUACUUGCGAAUAUUACAAACAUAUCCGAAAUAAUAUUUUAUACCAACAAACAUGUCACGUAAGUGCGGUUGAUGCAGAUUGGUUGAGGCCUCUUUAGUUUUAAUUAAAAAUUUUGAACUCGAAAAUAAAUAAACUAGCACGAAUCUGAAUCUUAACCACACACUUGUUAUUUGUUGAGCCCUUUUUAAGGUUGAUAGGGGCAUUUCCGAAAUAAUCUUAAAUUUGAAGGGCAUUGUACGCUUGCACUUCGCACCUGAUCCCUAUAAAUAACUGCCACAUAGUUCGUCUCCUUCUCUCACGAGAGUACCACUCCACAACUCUCUCUCUUUUUCUCUCUCUCUCUCUCUCUCUCUCUCUCCCCUUCGCCAUGAAAGGCCCUGCUCCAUCUCGCCCGAAGAAGCCACCGUCGCCGCAGAAGCUCACGCUCCUCUGCAUAUUCCGGGGCGCCUUCGUGCGCCGCAGCCCAUCGGGCGAGCUCUCGUACGUCGACGGCGAGAACCGCCUCAUCUCCGUCGAUCGCCGCGGCGGCGUCGCCAUGUCGAAGCUCGCGGCGAGGAUCGCCGAUCUGUGCCCCGGGUGCUCCUUCUCCCUCAAGUACCAGCUUCCUGAAGCUUCCAUCGCCCCCCCGAAGCUGAUCCCGAUCGCCACGGACGAGGACGUGAGGAGGAUGGUCGAGGAGCACGAUCGGAUCGCGGCGGAGAAAGGGAGGGCCCCUCGCCUCCGGAUCUACCAGUGCGAUGUGAGGCCUCUCCCCGUUAAGCAUGUCGAGGUGAGGUACUUCUCGUCUGGUAAUGGAAUUGGGUCGUGUUCUAGAUUUGGGGGUUCGAAUGGGGAAAAGUUGGUUUUGGAUAGAGGAUCUGCUUUGGGUGAUCUGAACGAGAAGUUUCAUGCGAGAAAAUACGGUAAUUUUCGUGAAAAUUUGGGUAAUAGAGUACUCGGGAACCAAUUAGGAAAUUAUGAAACUUGUGGCCCUGCACAUUUGCCUCGAUUUAACUAUUUGGUUGGAUCCACCACUUCACAUCCCACUCAGGUUUCCUGUCAUGGAUUUUCACCAUCAAUUUCUCAUAAAGCUGAAAUCUUUCCAAUAAAGACUGAGGUUAUUAAUGCGGCGGAGAUCAACUGUGAAAAUGCUAUUGAUCAUAGCCCAAUUCAAACUUGCUUGGCUCCUCCUACAAUCAGCAGCCAAUCAUCACAUAAAAGGAAUCCCCAGUGGAAGGUUUCCGGCCGUAGUAGAGGUCUCUUGGGAGUGCCUCACUUGACGACAAGAAACAGUAGGCUUGGAGUGGGAGGCAACAUCAUGCGGCACAAUCAGACAGUGUAUUGUGAUGUUCAGGGUCAGAAGAUCGGAUCGGAUGGUUUUGUCGUUCAGCGUUUCAAUGACGACAAGGUUCGUGAGUUAAAGUACCAUUUGGGGACGAGGCGCCGAUCUGGUAAUUCAAAGCUUGCACAUUCAAGAGCACAUCUGCAUCAAUUGGUAAAGCCACCAAAUGGUACGAGUCAUAUUACUCCGAAGGACGAAAUCUUACAGCCAACUAAAGAGCUAGAUAAGACACCCAAUGAGCCCCAAAGUCUUCCGGUCGUCGGAUUUGGAAUGCAACGGAUGCAGGGUGUUUCAUGUAAUCAAAGUUGUUCACAGAUGCCUCUUGAUGUCAAAAGCCAACCUCUCCCUUCAGGCACCACGAGCUUUAUGAAUUAUCCUUUGGGUGAUGCAAACCCAGUAGGCCACUCUCAUGCAGUUUAUCACAGAAGCUCCAUUAUUCGCACUGGCCAAGAACAGGGUACUUGUGAUUUGAAGAAGUCAUGCUUGGUGGAAAAUGUACCCGGUAAUCCACAAUCAAUAUCUUUUUCCUCUUUCUCCAUGUUACCAGGGGAGAAUAUAGAAAAAGUCGAAAUGAACUUAGGACUUACCACUGACAUUCCGAAGGCUGACCUUUCCCAUAAAUUGGAUAGCACUGCCGACCCUAUGGAGAAAAUUAGCCUUAACAGCUCCUGUAUAACUUUUUGCGAAAUCAAUACCUCAAUAAAUAUAUAUGACAAGAAAGCAGAAGAGUUCACAUUGUCGCAACCAUUGAGCUCUUUGCUGGAACAUGUAUCUCUUCGUUCCAAGAAGGAAACUCAUACUGAGAAGGAUCAUGGCGUGGACGAUAAAGUACUUGCACUAUGUCUCAAUGAACUUAAAUGCCAUUCAUGUUAUUUGGUUUAAUUAACUAAUAAUUGAAUUAUCUUUCAGGCUAAUGCGGCCAGUUCAAAAGAUAUCUGCUCCAAGGAAGUUGGUGAAGCCACAUGUAAACUUUCGGCAAUCUAUUCUCUUUUAUCUGCACAAGAAUUACAGGUAAAACUAUUCUAUUCUUAGUUAUUAGCAAAUCAAAAUCCAUUUCCUUCAACCUUCUUAAGUGAAUUAUUUAAGUGUAGUAGGGUUUUCUGAUCAUACUUUUAAGAGCUCCCAUCAUGAUCUGGCAGGUAAUUAGCAAUUCUGAUCUGGAAGAAAUUCGGGAGCUAGGGUCAGGUAACUUUGGAACUGUCUUUUAUGGCAAAUGGAGGGGCUCAGAUGUUGCAAUCAAGCGUCUCAAACCAAUCUGUCUCAGUGGAGGUGAAUCAGGAGAGGAAAAGAUGGUGAAUAUAUCUCAACCUUUUCAUAACAAAUUCAGAACAAUUCCUUCCUUAUCUUAUAAUAUGGAUUAUUCUAUUUACAGGUUUUUACUAUUUAGCUUGGUAAAAUGCAGGCAAACUUUGAAUAUAUAGUACAUAACUGUCGUUGGAUUUAACAUAAUAAGUUUUCUUUCUUAGGCUUUGGCUACUAGUUAGCGACUAAGUCACAUAGACAGAUGAAUCAAGCUCAUAGUUUACAACAUAAAUACAUGUAGCACAGCUAAAAGUGCAUGAAGCUAUUUCUUUAGUUACAUUGAAUGGCUAAGCUUCAAUCUUUCUUCCUGCAUCCAAUUUCUUAUAUGUCAAGCAACAUUGGAAUGUGAAAUUGCCCACUAAGGCAACUUUGUUGCAGCUAAUAUGCAUAAUGCAAUGUGCACAUCAUAUGCACAGGAACCAGGUUAGUGUAAUAAUGAUUAGUUUUAAGAAGUCCUGGUGCAUAAUGGUAUUUCGUUGAUAAUUGGAGCCCUUAAUACCAAGGUAAGUUAUUCUGUAGUUCUGUUUUAGCAAAUGCCAAAUAUUGUCGUGAAAGAUGUUGUUAUGAACUGCUAAUCGAUAGGUUGGUUUGACAACUUUCUUUUCUAGCCAUACCUGCAUAAAAUGGAAAAGUAGCAAGAGUUGCUUUGGAUGAUAUGCUUUUCAGCAUGUUUCCGGAAAUGCUAAGGAUACGAGAAUCUAAUUGAGGUUGUCAAGCGCUGAUUGCUAUAUGCAUUGCCCUUUCUUUUCUUUUGUUCUUUCUCUUUCCCGCGCUUUUGGACCGUCUUAGAAUAUUUCUCAUUGUCUUUUUGUAAGUGUUCUGCCCCGUCUGUGGGAGAAACUUUUUACGAAUUUUACGUUGUUGGCAGGUAAUGGACUUUUGGAAGGAGGCGCACUUACUGGGUCAGCUUCACCACCCAAAUGUGGUGGCAUUUUAUGGGGUAGUUGCAGAGGAACCAGAAAGAAAUUUGGCUUUAGUCACAGAAUACAUGGUUAAUGGUUCCCUUAAACAAGUUCUAAAAAGAAAAGACAGGUAUGAUCUGAUUACCUCUUUGUUAAGCAUCCGCAUCCAGUAAUAUUGCUGUAGUUUUUAAUUCCUUAAGUGUUGUUACCUUUUAUGUCUUGCACUUCUAUCACAAGGUACAGGAAUGAAACUCUAUCGCAAGGCAUAAGCACUAUGUUCCAGAUUUUGUUUAUGUGAGCAUCUCGAUUUUGUUUAGUACAUAGGAAUUUUAACUCAUUUAGAUUAUGCAAAGAAGGCUUUAUCCUAUUCCAUGAGAACUGUUUAGCCUUUCAUUUGAUCAUUUGAAGAUACCAAUUGCAUAUUAUUCACUGUACUUUUAUUCAUGAAGCCUUGUAUUGUUUGUUCAGUGUUUCUAUAUUUUGUCUAGUGUGAUAUCUCAUGUGAUUCAUCUUUUAUUAUUCUACAGAACUAUUGAUCGUCGGAAGAGAGUACUGAUAGCCAUGGAUGCUGCAUUUGGUAUGGAAUAUCUUCACGAGAAAAAUAUUGUCCACUUUGAUCUGAAGUCCCAUAACUUCUUCAUGAACAUGAGAGAUCCUCACCGACCAGUUUGCAAGGUAAUCAAUACACAAUUGAUACUACCUUUUUGGCUUAUACUACACCCGAGUCCAACGCACAUCAAAUUCAUCAAGAUGUACCACCCACUUGUGCGCAUUAAAUCAGAGGCUCCAGAUGUGGUGUUUGGAAUUCAGUAGAAGGUUGCUGAUUUCUUAAUUGACUAGAUCAAUGCAGUAGUCUAUUAAUGGAUCGGGCUGGUUCUUGCCUGGAUCUACUAGUGAUUUAUCAUUACGCUUGCUUGCUUAAAUAGUUUAAGAAUCUCAGGUUGCCAAAAAAAUGUCUAUGUAAAGUGAUCUGCAUUGCCUACUUUACAACAUCUAUUUAGAGUCUCUAUCUAGUCUCAUUUUUACAUUUACUCAGGCAUGUAUGUAGCUUCUCUACGUUGAAUCAGCUAAUUUAGUGUAUUACACAAUUGUGUAUAAUUCCAGAUUGGAGAUUUAGGCUUGUCAAAAGUGAAACAGCGAACGCUAGUCUCUGGUGGAAUUCGAGGAACAAUUCCAUGGAUGGCUCCUGAACUUUUCAGUUGUACAAAAAACAUGGUUACGGAGAAGGUACUUUCUGCAUUGUGGACCAUAUGCUAUUAGUAUGGCAUUCUUUGCAAUCAUUUUUAUCAUAUUUAUAGUAUGAAUUCUGUGGCCUUGAUAUUCAUUGAUUAUGCUGCAUGAGCAAACAUGCAAGCACUCAUUAUCUUGCAUCAUUAAAAGGGGGGUCGUAUGUUCAUUCAGCUGCCGCCAUGUUGUUAAUUGAUCUUUUCCCUUCCAUUAGCACUGUCUUUUUUCUUUUCUUUUUUUUUUUUUUUUCUGAUAUCAGGAAUUACCAUAUUAGCAAAUUGUUUGCCUCUCUUGUAGGUGGAUGUAUAUUCAUUUGGGAUCGUCAUGUGGGAACUCUUGAUGGGAGGGGAACCUUAUGAGAAUUUGCGGUCUGAUGAAAUAAUUGGUAAUAUUGUAUCUCCUCUACUUAUCAUCAUUUCUGUAGAUUUAUUUUGCAUAGAGAAGAAAGUUAAAGGGGCUUACUGACAUCUCCGAUUAAUAGCUUUUUGAACUUAAAUAUCAGGUUUCAUGUUUUUUCGUCGUACAUAGAUUUGUUAGUUUAACAGAUUGAAUUACUUGUAAGCAGAGAAAUUCUAAUCUAUUUUUCCUGUACGCUGGCAUAGGGCUUGUUCCAGCUACAUGACUUACUUUCCAAGUCAUAAGCCAGGUUUUUAUUUUGCUUUGGCUUAACAAUGCCAUGCUGGGGUUACGACUAACAAGUUAUGCAUAUUUAGCCUUAGUACCUCUACUCUCUCAUACUAGUAUAUAGAAAGUGCACAUUCUCUCGUUCCUAUGGAGAUCAAAUUUGAAAUCCAGUAUUCUCAACAACUAUAAGUAUUCAUUUUCAGCUCUGGAUGAGGCCAAACCAUAAAUAAUAGGGCAUCUAUUAUGCUUUUAGAAUUUAGAAAAAGAGAUAAUAGUGUGAGAAUCUGCACGAAAGUCAUCAUGGAGAGAUUAUGGAGUUUAUAUAAUCUAUCAAAUAGAAGUAUUAAAUUCUAAUAGAACCUGAGAAUUGAAAUUUAUCGUGAACAAAGGAGAAAUUGUAGAUCACUACAUGAUUGUUCAUGCAGCUACUAUCAUGUAUUGGGUGCGUAGAACAGUACCCUACCGAAGUCAUCACGAAUAUCGUGGAACCUUGGAUGUUCCAGAGUGCGGGAUUGUGCAUUACUACAUUAUGCAUAUAUAUCAUCAUUUGCUGUUACUUGUAGAUUGUACAGUUAACAUCUAAAAUAUACUUUUCAUUUAUUCUUUCAUGUUUCCAAUGCCGUUAUGUUGUGUUAUUUAUGAUAAAGGAAUAUCAAAUACUUGGUGAAUUAUUUCAACGGCACGUAACUUUUUUUUUCUAAUGCGUUGUCCUUUACACACUCAUUUGGUACUCAACAGCUGGUAUAAUUAAAGGCGACCUGCGACCGAAGGUACCAAGUUGGUGUGACCCAGCGUGGAAGUCGCUGAUGGAGAGGUGCUGGUCAUCUGAUCCCGAAGCAAGGCCAUCAUUCUCGGAGAUUGCAAAAGAACUUCGUGACGUUGCAGAAUCUAUGAAUAUCAAGUACUAAGCACUUUCGAACCUGAGCUGUAAAAUAAAUGAAAGAAAAUGCUUGUACCGUUAAACUAUCGGACAGUGUGAGCCUUGUCACCAAGGGCUAGGAAGAGUUACUUCACUGUAAAUAUCGUCCAACUGCCACAGGGAUGUUGCCAUUUUCCUUGCCAUCCAGUGGUUUGAUGUUGAGAUGGGAGAGUAGCUUCUCUACAAGUCCAUGCCGUCUUUUUUAUUGUGGCAUUUUGCUGUUGUAGUCGUAUGUGCUUUUGUCGGCACUAUGUUGGACAUAAUAAUGAUGAUGUAAAUGUUUGUUUGAAUUAAGUCUCCUUUGUGUGAUGUGAUGUUGAUCCUUUUAGGCACCUUCUUGUCUUGUUUGGAUGUUAGUGGUUAGUUAUUCUCGAUGACAUAGAACAAAGAAAUGAGUUCCAAAAGCAAGAUGUUCAUCAGCAAAUGAAGCAUAUAUUGUUCACCCAUCAACCCUUGAAACUCAGAUUGUGGCUACUAUCAAAUACGUACACAAAAUUCAAAACUGAUUCGGUAUAAACCUAGGGUAGUCCGUUUUGCAUCGGAAUGAAUUUAAGAAAGACACUGCAGACAUGUUUACGCACUGCUGUGCAAUGUAUGGGCACGCGUCAGCGAGGGCAGGAACAGUAUAACGCCCUCGGCAACCACCUUGUUAGCCGCCUCAGUUAGGUGCAUCCCAUCCCAGGAAAUGUACCUCGACGGCUCUGGACAAACCUUCGACCCUUCGUUUCCACAACAGAUAGAGCAAUCAGAAAGGGCAUUUGCUUCCGCAGCAUGCAACAAAAGGAUCGUCGAAUCCUACAACAUACGAAUCGCAUAUUAUCGUAGUCGUCAUCAUUAUCAUCGUUUAUGCUCUAGAUACCGACUUCCGUAUAACUUAGCUCACCCAUCAGGAACUACAGCAAGAAAUCAGGGGAUCUACUAGCAAUUAGUUUUCAAUAAAAGGAUUUCAAUUCUCUUCUGUAUUUGCAUAUGAGUAUGGCUAAAUGCAGCUAAAUGCAAGAUUCAAUCAAACUGAUCAUAGUGCUAGAGCUAGAUGUUGCAAUAAUCUCAAAUAAGAAAUGCAUACACAACCUAAUCUUGUUGCCUAAUGAAACGCGCAAAACAUAAUCAAAAUAAUCUGCGUUUCAAACUAUACGAUCAAAAAGCUUAAGCCGAUAGAAAAUGAUAGUAACGCACUUACUGUCACGAAAAUAAGACCAUCUUCAAUAUCAUAAUAUCCAAGAUUGAUACGAUGGAGACCAACGACAUCUGCGAAAAUGCAAAACACGAAAGCAGCAGGAACAAAGCUCACCAAAUUUGGUGCGGGAAUUGGUAGAUAUUCAUGAAAGCUCUGUAAUAUUCGGCGUAGAUCGAUGAUGGUUGCAUGAGGAUGAAGGUUGCGAAGAGCAUGCAGUUUUUCGACUAGCAAUUUGUUGUGGCGCUCGGAUAACUCAUUCACCCAGUUGAGGCACACCCUGUUCGACUAGCAAAUUGUAUAAAAUAAUCGUUUUUUUUUCAUAAGUUUAAAUAUGAGGUUAACAGGAUCGUUUCAUUUUGAUGAUGAAAAGACUAAUGAGUUUAAUAAAUUCCCUGCACAUGCAAACUACAUAAGUCUAUAAACAUAUGUCGUCGCGCAUGUUUAAUAUUUUUCUUUUUUCAUUAGAUAAUUAAAAAGACUCUAAAAUCUAAAAUUACUUUUCAAAAGUUAAGUCAAACAAUCCCGUAAUCUGAUUCUCUCAUUCUCUCUCUCUCUCUCUCUCUCUCUCUCUCUCUCUCUCUCUCUCUCUCUAUAUAUAUAUAUAUAUUGCAUUUAGCAAAUUAUCAACCCUUUUGCUAUGGAGUGUGUAUAUAAGAGCAGUGUCUAAGAGGGCAACUAGUACAUAAAACAUCGCAGCUACAAGUUUCAAGAAAGAAAGAAAGAAAGAAAGAAAUAGUAAGAUGUAGCAGAUAGAUUUAUGCAAUACAAUGUUCAAUAUCUGCAAUAUCUGCGCAUGUUUCUGCGAUGGCGGGGACGGCGUACGGUCCCCGUAGCACGCCGUCGGCGGCCACCUUGUAAGCCGCCUCGGUCAAGUGCAACCCAUCCCAGGAAGCGUACGUCGACGGCUCCGCGCAAACCGUCGACCCUUCAUUUCCACAAUGAAUGGAGCAAUUGUAGGGGCAGUGGCUACCGCAGCACGCGAGCAACGGCUCAUCGAAUCCUGCAACAUACCAUGAUCACGUAUCAUCGCCGUCGUGAUCAUUCGACAUAUAGUACGUAGUACUGUGGCUUAUGACUAACUCUGAUAUCGUAGUACCCAAAAAACCGAUCUGUUGAAACAACGAAAAUGACUCACCAAGUUGGUCCGGGAACUGGAAAAUGUUCAUCAAAGCACCGUAAUAGUCGGCGUAGAUGAUGGUUGCAUCAGGAUGAAGUUCGCGAAGAGUGUGCAAUUUUUCGACGAGCAAUUUGUUGUGGUACUCGGAGAACUCGUUUAUCCACUUGAUGCACCGGGUUUGUGGGUCGUAAUCUUCGUAGUUUUGGCUUCGGAACAUUGAGAGAUACAUUGGGACGCAACCAUUUGGUAAGUUUCCUGGAACCACCAGUGUUUUCGCGCCCAAUUUGAUCAGGUCCUAUGCAUCAAUCAAAGUAGUUUGCUUUAGAAUUAUUAUUUGCUUAGCAAAUUAAUAAUUCUAUAAAAAUUUUCGCAGCGAAAACACUUACGAUCGAGAACCCUUCACAUGAAUAGGCUAUUUUCAUUAAUUGACCCCUACAUUCUCUCGUUCUGAUUUGAAUUGCUCUCCUGAGCAAAUUUCUUUAAAAUAACCAUAAACAAAUUCACGAGACUAUCAAGUUGAAAACAGGGUUUUUUUUUAACAGAGUUAUAAACAAAUUUUAAAAAUUUAUAUUUCAUGGAUAGAAAUAUAUAACUUAUAUCGAAAGAAUCAAAAGUUAAAAAAGUAUCAGUAAAAUAAUAAUAAUCAUAAUAAUUAUUUACUAAGUCUCCUUCCAAAUGAAAUAUAGUCAACAAGUCUAUACAUCUUUUGGUGGCACUCGCUCAUUUUGAUUUAAAUUUGUUUCCUAAACCGAGAAAAAUUGUUGAAUUUUCGAUAGCUAUAUUCGAUGAAAAGGCAUUCAGAACAUCAAUUUUUAACCAAAUUAUGAUCAAAUUUUUAAAAGUUUUCUAUAGAGUGGAUAUAUAUAUAUAUAUAUAUAUAUAUAUAUAUAUAUAUAUAUAUAAACAUAACUUAAAUAAAAAAUAAAAUGAAUAAAGAGAAUCAAUUAAAAGAGGAAUAAUUAUAAAUUCAAAGUAUAACUAAAAUACUUUUAGAAGCACGGAGACCUCAGAUUGAUGUAAAUUUUUACGUACAUGUAUGGCAGAAGCGAUUGCAUCGAUGACGAAGGGAACGAAGGAGCGCACUUCGCCGGUUGUUAGCCGUCCGCUGAAGAACGGAUGGUUGUAAUCGUUUCCUCCGAUCUCUCCCACCAUGAAAAGCGAUGUAUCCAUGAUGCCACUAUGGUCUAUAAAUAAAUAUAUAAAUGUUUAUUAAUUUUAGCAAUAAAACAUAAUUUGAUACGUAUUUAGGCUCUUAAAUGUAUAUAAAUAAAUACACGCAUAUAUACAAAAAUAUGUACUUUUAUUUUUCAGCUUGCAUUAAUUUGUGAAUUCAAAUUAACUCCAAAUUUUCCAUCAAAAUUGAAUCAAAUCAUAUUAAAAAUUUUAAAAAUACCGGCCGGCCGGUUUAAUUUGAUUUUGUGAUUUUUUUUUUUUCAUGUUUCAAUGCCGGGCAAAUUGGCCGCACAAAUGGCUUGACGAUUACAAUCAGAGCAAGCCUAAAAACGCUUAAAGCAUUUAUAUAAUGAGUUCUCAAUAUAUUAGCAAUACAUUAAUAAAUAUCAAAAUUGUUUACAUUAUAUAUAUAUAUAUAUAUAUAUAUAUAUAUGCCAGCACAGCAAUAAAUAUAUAUAUAACGGCAUAGUUUUGAAAAAUAAAUAUUAAUAAAUGAUUUUUUAUGAGCUAUCAUUGUUCUCAAAUUAUGUGAAUAUAAAUCAAUCAAAAUUCUUUAAUGUUAAAAGAUAUAAUAUGUGAGAAUUCAUUCUUUUUAUUACUUUAUUAUAGGCGUGUUUGGUUCGUGUUAUGUAGCAUUAUAAAUUAUUUCGAUGUAACUAGAUAUUUAAAAAUUUUGAAUCAGAUUUCUACUAAUACUGCAUUAUCAUGUUUGAUUUAAUAUAAUAAUGUAAUGCUGGAUUACAAUGUAUAUAUUUUAUAAAACUUCUGAUAAUAAAAUAUAGCCUAUUCCACAAUUGCUUUUUUAUGGCCAUAUUUUACAAAAUGUGAAAUUUAAAAAUUUAAAAUCUAAAAUCUAAAAUUCAAAAUUUAAAAUUUAACAAUUCAAAUUUUAUAUUAAAAUUUUAAACAUGAGGUAUUGAAAGUGUUUGGAGAAAUUUGAAAGAAAAAUUUGUAAUUUUACAUAAUAUGUAAGAUAACCCGUCAGUAAUAUAAGAUAUCCAUCUCCACUCGAUAAUAUUUUCGAAUAAUCCUAAAUGCUACAUUACUGACCGAAUUACAGAAUGUACUAAAUACAGUAGUCUUGAAGCCUCCGUUUGGUUCGGGGUUAAGGGGUGGGAUAACCCAUUAACCCUGAUUUUAUUCCCAAAUACAAAUUAAGGGUGGGUUAAAACCAGGGUGAGUGGGAAUAACAAAACCUAAGGGUGUUAUGGUUUGUUAGGUUAUGGGUUACAAACCACCCCGCCCAACAAACGAGGUAGGUGGAUUAAGUUAACCCAUACAAUUUAAUUUUUAAAUAUAAUUUUAUUUUAUGUUACUUUAAUUUUAAAAUUUAUAAUUUAAUCUUGAAUUAAAUAUUAUAUUUUUAUAAUUAAUUUUAAAUUUAUUUAUUUUUAAUUAUUAAUUUUAAUUUGAUAGUUAUUAUUUGAAAUUUUAAAAUGUUAUAAUUCAAUCUUAAUUAUUAUUGUUUUUUAAAAUUUAUUUAUUUUUAAAAUUUAUUAAUUUAUAAUUUUAAAAAAUUAUAUUAUAUUUAAAUUUUUAAUUUGAGAUUAAAAAUUAGAUUUAUAUUUUGAAUUUUUUUAAGUUAUUUAUUUAUUAAAUUUUAAUUAAAUAAAAAUUAAUCAAUAUAAUAAUUGGUUUUAAAAUUAUUAUUUCGAUUUAUACUAUUCAUAUCCUUCUUAUUUCUUAUCAUCAAACUAUUUUUUUUUCUGAUAAACUCAAUUUUAAUCAACAAAUUAUCUUAUCUAUUUUACCCUAAGUUAACCUUAUUACAAGAAUACUAGUUUUACUUCACCAGAUCAAACGAAGCCGGAAAGAUUUGUAUAUCUUGUUGGAUUUCCGAAGGCAAACAGUAUUAUUUAGAUGUUAACGGCAUUAAUUAUGUGGGUAACAUUAUUGUACUUGGUCAAGUCAUGCUAUGCUAUUGGUGGCUUUUAUUCGCUUAGUCCCCGAUUCCGUAAUUGGUGGCUUUUUAUAUUCGUUUGUCGUGCGUAAUUAGGUGGUUUUUAUAUCUGCUUUUUAGCUUUUCGUUUUGACUCUUUUUUCCUCUUGCGCAACAAGUUUCUUUAUGUAGAUAUGGUUUCUCUAUUAUCGAAAAGUUAGGGCCUAUUAGGAUGGUUAGAUCUAUAUUUGGUAUCCCACGUUACAAUUCGACUUAAUUUAUGUUAUUUUUAAUUAACUUUUUUGUAAUAAAAUAAUAACGGCUAGUAUGUUUGAAUAUUUUCUAUUAGAUGCAAUGUGUAGAGGUUUGUUAUUGAAAAUAUAAGUAGUUGAUCACUUUCGUUUUUUAGUCCUGGAUUAAUUUUGGUUUUAGAUACUAACGGUCCUUAGGUGAGUGGUCUCUAAAAUUGGUGUCUAUUGAUUAUAAUUUAAUACAUGUUUUUCGAAAUGAGCAUUGAGUUGAUCUAAAUACUUAAAAUCGAAGAAACUACUUUUAUUAUUGUAGUUAGUCUCUUUUUAGAUGCCAUAUCAUAUGCCACUAUUUUAUAUAUUAUAUUAUAUUACUAUAUAUUAUUUAUAUGGUGGGCUACUAUCAUGGAAGCGGAGUUCGUGUUCAGUCGUUUCGAUAUUGGAUUUCGAAUCGUCGAUCGGUAUCUCCUGUUAAACUUGAUCUAGAGUAUUUGAUAGUAACUAGGAAAAUAAUUUAUGAUUUUAUGAUAUUUGGCUAUAUGAACGAGGGGCUCAAACAAUCGGUGAAAUAAAAUCUUACAAAAUGUAAAUGAAUUGCACAUUAAAAUUUUAAAUCAAAGAUAUUGAUCUUGUUUUAUAUAGUAUAAAGAAUUUUCUAUCAAAAUUUCACGUGAUUUGGAUAUUUCUACACCGUUAAACUUGCAAACGGCUCACUACGGCCAUUGAAAUUUGUUGAUUUUGAGCCUAUUCGAUCACAAGGCAAAUGAUAUCGAAAAAUAAUAAAAUUUAUUUUCUAGGUACUCCAAAUACUCUAGAUCAAGUUUAACGGAGUCGAUCGACGAUUCGAAAGUCGCAACAUCGAAAACAAGCUGGAAGCACGGAAGGCUCCGUGCUUCCGAUAGCAUAGUAGCCUCACUCUAUAUAUAUAUAUAUAUAGAGAGAGAGAGAGAGAGAGAGAGAGAGGCUAUUAUAAUAUCUAUAACACUAGAACUCCAAUAUUAUAGUCUUAUAAAUAAAAUUUUAUAUUUUUUCGAUAUAGUUUAUUUUAUGAUCAAAUUAUUUCAAAAUUGUCAAUUUUCAAUGAUUAUUAUGACGAGUUUGUAGUUUAACGGUGUAGAAGAAUCUAAAUUUAUUUAAAUUUUGAUAGAAAAUAUGUUAAACUAUUUAGAUUAAAUUAGCAUUUUUUAUCUUGAAUUCAAAAGUUUUAUUCUCAAAUCCUAAAGAUUGCUUAAUUUUCACUGUUCAUUUUGGCAUAAUUUAUUUACGAAGUAAACGAUAUCGAAAGAAAUUAAAAUUUUAUUCCUAAAAACUUCAUAUAGCUUAGAUCAUAUUUGACGGUGUGGAUCGUUCAUUUGAAUACCCUAAGAUAAAAAACGAGACUAUAGUACCGAAACUUUGGUACUAUAUAUAGUAUAUUACUCUCAUUCUAUAUAUAUAUAUAUGAGCAGGGCUGCUGUGCUCUCAGGAGCACGGAGGCCUUCGUGCUCCUGAGCCGUUUUCGAUGAUGAAAAUUUCGAAUCGACGAUCGGCUCCGUUAGACUUGAUCUAGCGCAUUUGAAGUUUCUAGAAAAUAAUUUUUGCGAUUUUUCGAUAUCAUUUACCUAGUGAUCGAAAGGAUUCAAAAUCCAUAAUUUUUAAUGGUUGAUAUUUGCCGUUUUCAAGUNAAUCUUAAAAUUAAUAUUUGUUUUUUAAAAUUUUAAAUUUUAAAUUUUAAAAAUUUAUAAUUUAUAAUUUUUAAAAAAUUAAUAUUUUAUAUUUAAAUUUUUAAAUUUGAGAUUUAAAAAUAUAGAUUUUAAUUUUGAAUUUUUUAAUUUUAAAAGUUAUUUAUUUAAAUUUAAAAUUUUAAAUAUAAAAUAAAAAAUUAAAUUCAAAUAUAAUAAUUGAGUUAAAAUUAUUAUUUUCUAUUUAUAACUAUUCACUAUCCUUCUUAUUUCACUUACUCCAAUCAAACACUAUUUUUUUUAUAUCUGGACUAAAUCCAAUUCUCAAUCAAACACAAAAUUACUCUAAUCCUAUUUUAACCCUAAACUUAACCUUAUUUCAGGAAUAACUAGUUUUUACUCAACCCCGAAUCAAACGAAGCCGAAAGGAUU
rnacentral:lncRNA from 1 species